rnacentral:lncRNA from 1 species
AGCCAGUGGGUCCGUCAAGAGCGCGUCCAGGCCAGCGUCGUCGUCAGGGUCCACAGGCUUCGUUUGGGUCUUUGCAAUUGCUCCCAAACCCAGUUGGCUGCGAAAAAUAGACGCAACCGACAAAUCCUCCUCCUCUUCCAAGGGCAAGCCUUCAUCUUCAGCGGCAUGUAGGCAGUAGUCCUGGCUCGAGAGACCUUCCUCAGGCGGUGGAGCUUCAAGACCGUCCUGCAAGAUCGUCCGACAGCCUGCUUCAGUCCGCGACCGCUGGCUUCGCUCGUGCAACGGUCGCACCGCACCUCUAGAGCCCCUUCUAGGCCAGUCUCGGCUGCUGAGAGGUCGCCGAAGAAGGAGUACUGGGCGGCGUCAAACGCCAGCGGAGCCUACAAUCAAAAGGUUGCUUUAAGCUUCAAAACACCAGAUCAAACUUUUGAAUGCAAACAGGCAUACCUCAGACUCAAUCUCCACUGCCACGAAGCGGUCCGGCAGCCCCAGCAGGCUUGCCGCUUCUACAAAAGAAAGCAGCGGAAUCUAUUACAGAGGGUGAAGAAGCAAGCACUCACAGAAACAACAUCAAAACUGACUUCUUUGCGUUGUCAUCGUCAGGCUGCACGCAUCUUCCUUCGCCAAAGACACGCGCGUUUAACAUGUAAACCGCCUUAUGCUAGAUUAGCAAUUGCAACUAGUAAAAAUUGAUUAUGGAGUAAUUGAGUACAGUUGUAUUGUCGGCACCCGCAACGGAUCUACGGGUUUCGUGCAAAAAGGUGCACGACAUGGCGGCCAUUUGCAAUUGGCAAAGGUUACACAAAUCAUGGAAGCUGCAACCGCGUAACUUCAACCUCCCUUGUUAGUCUAGCUUUCUUUGCCUGUGCGCGCCUGGCUGACAGCCCUUUGACUGUACACUGCACAGAAGAACUUUGUUGCAUGCCGGUAGUCCGAUGUAUAAGUCCGUACCAACUCCUCUUCUAGAUCACCAAUAUCAUGAUUACAUCAGCGUAGCGGUUGAUGCAGCGCUAGCGGCUGGUGAAAUCAUCAGGCACGCUUUUAAGCAACCCAAAAAAGUUGAAGAAAAGCAAAACCAUGCAGACCUGGUGACGGCAACGGAUAAAGCUGCAGAGGUACAUGGCGCGGUUGCGCGAUGAUGAUGAUGCGCGACUGUGGCCCCCAGAAGGGGAGUUGGCGGUGGUUGCUGCGACGCCUCAAAAUCCAUCUCGUCCACUGUUUCCCAAAGCCUCUCCGUCCCACCCGCUUUAGUAAUUUUUCCUCUUUGCUUAAUAAAGUUAUCCCGGGCUUGCAAUCAUGAGGUUUCAUUUACACCUCUUUUUUUAUUUUAGCUAAGCUUUUGCUCCCUGCACGAAACCGAGAGCCCACCCGUCUACCCACCUGCCCUCUUCCUCCGCUCUCACUUCCACAUGGCCCCCCUUUUCCCGCCGCCCUUCUCUCCGACCUGCACAGCCCCAUUCAAAUCUCUCCUCAGGCGAGUCAACCAUGUUCCUUCACCCCAACACGCACGCUCCCCUUUCCCGCCAUGCUUACAUCAUAUUCUUCCACACGCAUACACAUACGCAUACGCAUACACACCACACCACACGCCUGGCCCCCCUCCACCGCUCUCCUUCAGGACCUCAUCUUCAACCGCAUCCGGCGCUCCUUCCCCGACCACCACUUCAUCGGCGAGGAGUCCUCAGCCGCAGCUACCGGGGGGGUUUCGGAGCAGCUGGGCGACUCCCCCACCUGGAUGGUGGACCCGCUGGACGGUGAGAGGGAAGGACUGAGGGCUGAGCAGCGCCAGCAGGGCAGGCCGGGAAAGAGGUCUGCCCUCCAAAAAGGAGUAGGCUACUCCUCCUUGAAGAAACAGGGAACGGUGAAUUGGCGUGCAAUACGACAUAGACAUAGCUGUGAGGGUCAGGCAACAUUAUGUUAUGGGGUCCAGUGCACGCGGACUCGAGGGAAAUGGCGCGAGGGAGGGAGGGCGGAAGGGAGGGCGGGAGGGCGGGAGGGGUCACAGGGUAGGCGCUUAUGGCGGUUGGGGUUUGGAGGUUAUUUUAGGGUUUUGGAGGUGUAAGGAACGGAUUUUGGGGGGGGGAGAGAGGGAAGAAAAAGGGUUGGUGGUGGAGGCAGUGGUCCUCGGGGGGGCACGUCAUUAAUUGUUGCAUAGGUUGAUCUGUCGUACAUACAUACAUAUUCAGUACGAACGCGGUACACGUGCUGCUGUUGCUGCUCCUUGUCCAUGCGUGUCUGUGCGUGUGUGUCUUUGUGCGUAUGUGUUUGCGUGCAGGUACGACAAAUUUCGUACAUGGUUUUCCUUUCGUGUGCACCAGGUGGGUGUUUGCGUGUGUUGCGAUGCGAGGGAGGUGGGGGGUGGGCGGGGCAGGAGGAGGUGAGGGUUAGGAGCUUCCCCCCCUCCCCCCCCUCCCCCCCUCCCCCCCUCUCUCUAUCUCUUGUCUCUAUCUCUUCCCCCCUCCCCCCGCAUUGCCCUUCCAUUGCCAUCCUGGUUGGUCGGCUCUUCGACAACCCGCCGUCCGUGGGGUCCCCGUUGUGUAUUGGGGGGAGGGGGCCCCCGGGGUGCAGUAAAACCCACCGCUCGUCCAUCGCUCAUCGCGAGAGUCAUGAGCAGCUUCAGCAACAGCAGCACAGCAGCAAUAGCUUCAGUCCUCUCCCCCCCUUCCUUUUUCCCCUGUGCCCUCCCCUCCCUCCCCCCCUUGGCACCCAUCACCUUCACUCGCUCGUGGUUCGUGGUCUUUUCCCCUCCACCCCUCACACGCCCCAAUCCCCUCCCAGUCCCAGUCCCACCUCCCUCACCUCCCUCGCACUCAACAAAACACACUUGCACGCGCAUGCACCCGUGCGCGCUCCUCUUUUUAAAACAGCAUCGGCCUGGCCGUUGGCCGUGUGGUAGUUGUGGGGGUUGUGUACAACCCCGUUCUGGAGGAGCUGUUUGUGGCGGCUGAAGGCGGGGGGGCCUACUUGAACGGUGAGCGGCUGGCGGCCUCUGGGCGGACUCAGCUAGCUGGGGCCGUGGUGGGAACGGAGGUAAGUGGGGGCGCGCGUGUGUGUAUGUGGUGGUGGUGUGUGUGUGGGGGGGUAAGAGUGUGGUGGUGUGUAUAGGAUGGGGGAUGAAGCUUCGGGUAGAUUGGAAACACUGCUUAUAGGUAGAUGCAAAGUCAAGGAAGUAACUCCGGACAUGUGCGGCAUGGGGGGGAAAGGGGGAAAGGUGGGGGGGUGUUGAGGGGGUGGGAGUAAGGCGUGUAAAACCCUAUAAGUACCCCGUUGAAGUUUGCUGCAAUGCCUAUACCUCCUACUCCCCGCCCACUUACCCAUGUCUCCGUUCCUCGACCCGCCCCACCUAAAAUAAAGCCACAUACAUACAUACAUGCAUACAUACAUACAUACAUACAUACAUGCAUACAUACAUACAUACAUACAUACAUACAUACAUACAUACAUACAUACGCACACGUGAAAACACGUCAGGGUCCCCCUGCUAUGGCCGGCAGAUGGGCAGUGAAUUCUGUUGGCUUUCUGGCACCAUAUGAUUACCCGCAUACACACCGCCGUACACCGCCGUACAGGUCGGCACCUCCCGCGACAGUGAAACCCUGGACGCCAUGUUUGGCCGCAUGCGCGCCCUCGCCGCCCUCUCCCGCUCCGUUCGCUGCACGGGCUCGUGCGCUCUGGGGCUGUGUUCCGUGGCGUUGGGGCGAUGUGAUGUGUUUUUCGAAAUCAAUUUCGGGGGGUGCUGGGAUGCGGCGGCGGGGGCGUUGAUGGUUUCGGAGGCUGGUGGCACGGUUUUGGACCCCGCGGGGGCCCCCUGGCACGUUAUGUCACGGCGGGUGUUGGCGGCGGGGAGUGGGGAGCUGGGUCGGGCUGUGGCGGCUGUGCUGGGGGGUUGUAAGUUGGGGAGCGGAGAGGCGGCACCUCCUGGAUUGGGCAUGGGGCCGUCCUUGCGGGGGCGGGGGAGGGGGGAGGAGGAAGGAAGAGGAGAAAAGGUGUGAAUGAGUGCGUAUGUGUUUGUGUAUUUGUGUGUAUGUGUGUAUGUAUGUACGUAUCAAGGAAGAAGUGAAGGGGGUUUAUUUAAGGCAAUGUGCAUUUGGCGAGAGCGGGAGUGUAUGUAUGUGAGGGGAUUGGGGGUGCGUGGAUUGGGUCGUACAUUUCUUCUUUCUCCGUGUGACUGUUUUUCAAAUGCUUUAUAAUUAUGUCUCGGUAGCAGGGUUCGACACUGACCUUCCUGAAACUUGCGGGCUCCCCCGUACCUCCCAAAUUUUCCUUACGGAGGGGCCCCCGUACCAGGCUCCUGUACCGGCCGAAAACCUUACGGCGGCCCCCCGUAACCCCCACAAAACCUUUACGGGGGCGCUGUCCUUGGCUGAAACGCUGUGGAAAGUGACGCUUUGCAUUUUUUGCCCUGUAAAUCGUUAUUUUCGUUAUUUUCUCGUGAACCAUUACACUCGGGGACACGGCACACUCGGUGAAAGCCAAGCGCCUUGGCCGCCCAUCCCUUCUGCUCCUCAACAUGAUCUUCACCCGUUACGUCCGUACUGUUAUCUGACAUAAUACUAAAGAAUGGGCUUUCACGGAUUCGAACAAGCUGGGCGGCAAGGAUGACUUCGCUCAGAGCGCGCAUAGCUGUGACGAGAUAGCGGUACUGGUUGUACUUGAAGUGGAUGCCCGGAAGCCCAGCCGCCGUUAGCAUGAGAAGCAUGCUCGGCAGCUUAAGCAUGGGAAUAUGUACCGUACGGCCUCUUAUAAAUCCUUAAAAUCCUUACGGGGGCCCCCGUAACCGGCCUUCGGCCGGUCCGGGGGCGGCCCUGUACGGGGGCGCUUCACGCCCCAAAAUCCUUACGGGGGCCACUGUAAAGUCCUACGGGCCCUGACGGGGAUACCGAAAAAAGGCCAAAAACUUACGGGCCCCGUACGGGGUGUCGAACCCUGCUCGGUAGACUGUUAUUAUUUUGUGUUUCUGUCUUUCUCUCGGCGCGUGUGCGUGUGUGUGUGUGUGUUUUAAGAGGGGGGAAAGGAGAUAGGGAAAGCGCCAAAAGAGGAGAAGAGCACAGGGAAACGAGUUCUUGCUUGGCUGUAUAGCUAAUGAACGCGUGUGGAGGGCUUCCUUCAAUUAGAGAAUCAGGAAUUUGUUCCCUUCCUCAAUAAACUGUCGGUGUGUGUGUAUGUCUGAGGAUGUUACUGUCGGUGUGUGUGUAUGUCUGAGGAUGUUACUGUCGGUGUGUGUGUAUGUCUGAGGAUGUUACUGUCGGUGUGUGUGUAUGUCUGAGGAUGUUAACAGGUGGCGACUUUUCAGACGCGUCAGACAGAACGGCUUUGAAGCUUUGAAGCUUUUUUCUUGAGAAGAUUCUGCCUGAUGCGUCUGGAAAAUCGCAGGAGGGGAGGGGAGGGGAGGAAGAGGUGACGGAGCUGUACAUAUACAUUUUGCGCCGGGGAAGCCCCACAGCGGUUUUUUGAUGCCAGCUCGCGGCGGCGGUAUCCGACGGACACACCGCUCGUCGUACAGCGUCGUGAUAACCGUACAACACCGCCACGAGACAACCAUGGUACAACACCGCAACAACAAUUCAAAACCAACAGUUUUGAAACACAGUUCCCAAUUUGCUAAAAAAAACUCAAUUUUUGCAGACAUCAGUGCUUUUAAACGUAAUAAGAAGUUUACUUCCUUCAACCAUCAUAAACAACAACGUUAAAAGAGACUUAUUAUUCAAUCCAGAUCUUAUUGAAUCCAGAUCCCGAAAGCGCCGUACGUCCACCCGUCAUUCCCAUCAACCUGAAUACACACACCCUCUUCUCCCCCCACCCCAAACCUUACACACACAGCAAAUACACACACUCAUAUGGCACACAGUCAUAUGGCUUUUUUAAUUCCCAGACGUGAAUACACUGGGGAAUGACCAUGGCCUGUAGCGGUACGAUUAGUCGUACUCCAAGAACGGAGAAUCACCCAUGCUCGGUACUACGACGCGAGAUGCGUGCGUGUGUGUAUUUAUUAAUCUACCUCCUCAACCACAGGCCGGCCGCCACCCGCGGCGCCCCCACCCCCACCACCUGCACCCCCGCUACUGCCACCGGCGCCGUACACCUUGGACAGGAUGGUGCCCAGUGCCUGACAGUGCCGUACCGCGGGGUGAUUUUCAGGGGGCGAGAGUCCAUGGAGCGGGGGGGGGUAGAGUGGUUUGGGUAUGUUAGGUAAGUACGACAACGUGUCAAAAGUAGGUACGAUAGCGAUUAUACUUUACUGUCUUUACUGUACUUCACAUUUUGAAUUGGCAUUGGCAAAAUGCGAAAGACAACCCAGCAGUUCUCGUCUCCGCGCGAGCCAGCAAUUACUUAGGGCCUAUUUUGCCCAUCUGCAGAUACACAAACAGACACACAAACAGACACACAAACAGACACACAAACAGACACACAAACAGACACACAAACAGACACACAAACAGACACACAAACAGACACACAAACAGACACACAAACAGACACACAAACAGACACACAAACAGACACACAAACAGACACACAAACAGACACACAAACAGACACACAAACAGACACACACGGCGACAAGCUUCCUAAAAGCCCACCUCCUCCUCCUCCCGCCCAGCGAAGAAGACCCGCCUACCACCUCCCCCCUUCCCGCACACCCCUCCAACCCCCUCACCUCCUCCACCUCUCGCUGCUUGUGCUCCAUCUCCUCCACCUCCGCCAACUGAUUACGUUCCAGCCACCCUAGGGCCUCGUCCAGCGUCGUGUCCAACGUGUGCUUCUCCUCCGGCGUGAGGCGGUCGCCAGCACCGGGCUCGCGUAGCUUAUUACGGAUGCCGUACAGGAACCCCUCCAGCUUGUUGCGUGCCUCCACCUUUCCAGGGGGAAGGGAAGUCGGGGGCGAGGGGGGUAAUUUUAAGGGUAAUGUGUGUGUGUGUGACGUGUGUGUGUGACGUGUGUAUGUGUGUGGCUUAUAGCUGUGAAGGGAGGUGUGAUGGAAGGUGAACGGUGGCGAAGAAACUACAUCCUAUCUUCUCCCAACCUCUAUCUUUGCUGUUUUUUAAAUAUUAAUUUGGAAUGAACAUUGGCUUUGUUGUCCCCGGUCACAACACACCCUUAGUAGUUGUAUACAUCUGCCGUACCAACCGCUUUUUUUGGCCUGGCGAGAGGAGUGCGUGUGGUACGGCGUUGUGUGUGUACUCGCAUUGCCCCCGGUCCUUCCGUACCUUUUUGCGGGCUUGAUCAUCCUCUCGGGCGUACUUCUCCGCGUCCUCCACCAUCUUUUUGAUUUCGCCCGCGGAGAGGCGGCCCUUGUCGUUUGUGAUGGUGAUGCGAUUGGACGAGCCUACGGGCCGGGGGGGGGGGGGGGGGAAAGGGGGGUGAGGGGGGGGGUAUGUGCAGGAGGAGCGUGUGGAUAGCCGCGAGGGCGGGAAAGUUAUUGUGCAAUUGUUGUGUUAUUAAAGUGAUGGGUGUGAAUGUGGGGGUACGUGCCGUGCCGUGCCGUACCGUAGCAACCCGUGGCAACCUGUGGCUCCGGAGCCCGUAGUGAGUGACACACGGCCCCUCCUCCUCGCACGCUCUUCCCGCCCUUUUUCGCGUUCUCACACCCCCUUAAAACCCUAAAACCCGCCACUACAAUAACUACGUACCGGUGGCCUGCUCCUCCGCGGACACGUGCAAAAUCCCGUUGGCGUCAAUAUCGAACGACACCUGUUUGUGUGUAUGUAUGUAUUUGUGUGCGAGAGGGGGAGAGGGCGUGGCGAGUGCAAAUAGGUGGGGUGGGGGUGGGGGUGGGGAUGGGGGUGGGGGUGGGGGUGGGUUACAUGAUGUGGCAAAGUGCACAUAAAACCCCACAGGCUGCAUUGAGAUAAGGCCCCCCGGGGGGGAGGGGGAGAGGAGGAAAGGCUGGGGAACGGCGCUCGAAAGCUUUGACUAGUCUGACCUCGGAUUACGUUUAGUAGCGCCGGCUGCCGCUUUACCGCGCCGCUAUACACACAUAUAGUACAUAACUUGAAAGGUACCUUGUGGAAAAAGAACAUUUAUCAUUUCUACAUAUAGAAGACGAUUAGGAAGGAAGGACAGGAUGUUAGCUGCAGCCACCUUGCCGUACCUCUCUUUUUCCUCCCCCCCCUCCCCGAAAAACCCGUUACCUUAAUCUUAGGCACCCCACGAGGCGCCGGAGGUAUACCGCUGAGCUCAAACUUGCCCAGCAAAUUGUUGUCGCGUGUACGAGCACGUUCGCCCUCGUACACCUGUUGGGGCGUCGUACACAUCAGGGGAUACGGACGAGACACAACAUAGGUCCCGAACACCGUCUCACUGCGUAUAUGCGGCUGCUGCUGUACUGCUUUUUUCGUUCCCGUACAAACCCGAGUGUGCGAGUGUGUGUGUUUUCCUUACACUCUCUCCUCUAGGAGAGAAGGCCCAAUCUUACUGCUAACAUUAACACCAGCUUCAGACCUAAAGUACCUCUUAAAAAAUCUCCUUUUAUAUUCUCUCCCAAAUACUAAACGCCUCCCUCCUUUCCCUUCCCUUCCUCCCCCCUCCCCUCUCCCCCCUCCCCCCUCCCCCCCUUCCCCCCUUAACCCUCCCUCCCCCCUCCCCCCCUUAACCCUCCCUCCCCCCUCCCCUCUCCCCCCUUUAAAUCCCCUCUCCCCCCCCUUAAACCCCCCUCUCCCUCCCCCCUUAACCCCCCUCCCCCCCUUAACCCCCCUCUCCCUCCCUCCCUAAACCCCCCUCUCCUCCCCCCGCUCCCCCCAAAGGACCUGAAUCAGCACUCCCGGCUGGUUGUCGGAAUAGGUGGAGAAGACCUCCUCCCGGUGUGCCGGGAUGGUGGUGUUGCGGGUGAUCAGGACGGACUGGGGAGGGAGUUGGGGGGGAGAGAGUUCGAGAGUGGAGGAGAGAGGGGCGUGUAAGUGCAUCUCCUUCCUGGUCUAUCACAAGACAAAAUGCAUAAAUAACAAAUCAAACAAUUAAUACAAUGAAGCACUAAAAAAUAGCGCCCCCCGCUAGGAUUAACCACAAUAAUUAUGUGUAUAUACAUAUUUAUUUAUACACAUAUAUACAGACAUAUAUAUUAUAAUAUUAUAAAUAUUAAGGGGGGGCGCCCUCUAUUGCUUCCUUUCUGAAGCGGUGUUAUGCUGUGGGUGCCUCGCCCGUUGUGUUUGUUGUUUGAUUCGUUAUAUAUAUUAUAUAAUUUUAUAUUUUACUGUGGUUAAUUUACAUACUUAUGAUGUACUUUUAUUUUUUUUGUAUUACAUAAAAAUGAUGUAUAUGCUAAUGACCCCUCCCUCUCACCAUAAUGCCCCCCGCCGUCUCAAUGCCCAAACUCAAAGGAGUUACGUCCAGCAGAAGCAGAUCUUGAAUCUUGCUACCACCCGUGCCAGUUAAAAUGGCGGCCUGUACGGCAGCGCCGUACGCUACAGCUUCGUCGGGGUUGAUAGACUUGCACAGCUCCCUGCCGUGGAAGAAGUCCUGUAGUAGCUGCUGUACCUUGGGAAUGCGAGUGGAGCCCCCCACUAACACGAUAUCGUGGAUGGCGGACUUGUCCAGCUGCGCGUCCUUCAGCACCUGUGUGUGUGCGUGUGUGUGUGCGUGUGUGUUUUGCAUGCACGGGGGGGUGUUACGACGAACCACUGGCGAAUGAAGCAGAUACCAGAAAUAGACGGAUAGUCCAGGAGAAUUUAUGUAUGUAUGUAUGUGUGUGGGGGGUGGGUUGGCGCGUGUAUGUGUGUGGGGUGUAUGCGUGGGUGUGUUUUUUGAGGUGUACGGGAGAAAGGGGCAGAAAAGGCAUUUGAGUCCGUAAGAACGGCAUGCCGUUUUACCUUCUCCACGGGCUCCACGCACUUCGUGAAGAGGUCCAUGCAGAGUUCCUCGAAUCGCGCUCGGGUAAUGGAGGCGUAGAAGUCAAUACCCUCGUACAGACUGACAUACGUACAUAAAUACAUACACAUACACGCACACACACGAGGGGGAGCCGUGCGAGGGGGAGGGAAGUUGGAAUGGGGGCCCGAGGAGGGAAGAAAUGUACGACAAAAGAUAUCGCUGAAGUGGUGUCAGGAAAUCCCUUUCGUAUUUCAAGACCAAGCCCAAUCAUGCGCCCACCCCCCCAAAAACACACACAAUCAACCUCCCCCGGCCCUCCCUACCCCCGAACCCCUCCGACCCCCCCCCAAUACCCCCAAACCCACCUGUCGAGCUCCACGGUGGUUUGUGUGGCGGAGGACAGCACUCGCUUUGCCCUCUCACAUGCCGUACGGAGGCGGCGUAAGGCCCGGGGGCUGGUGCUAAGGUCCUUGCCGUGGUUCUUGCGUUUAAAUUCCUGUCGGGGGGAUGUGCACAAGGGUGUGCUUGUGUGUUUUGUGUGUUUCAUGGAGUUCGCCAUGAGGGGGGGGGGGCGGGGCGGGACAUCAAGAAAGGGUCUGUUGGGUCUAGUUGACCGGGUAGUUAGGAAGCGGUUGGAUGGGGCAUUCAAACACGUGUCGUCUUGUAUGUAUGUCCGUGGUUGUUGAUAUUUAAUAACAGAUUUUAUGUCUGUUGAAGAGAGGUUGGUUGUCUGAGAGCUUUUAAAAAAAAUAGCUGUAACAGAGAUGUAAAAAAGAGACAGCUCUAGUAUAUUAGUUUUAGCAAUGGGUUAAGGAGUAACGGAAGGGGGAUCGCGUGCGGAAACUCGAAAGCAAAUGCCGCACCUGGACGAAAUGCGCGACCAUGCGGUUGUCAAAGUCCUCCCCGCCCAGGUGCGUGUCGCCGCUGGUGGCCUUCACCUCGAAUAUGCCCUCGUCAAUGGCGAGCAGCGACACCUGCAGCGCCCCGACGAACUUCGUUUUGUUUGUUCUGCAGGGCUCGGCGCGUUGAUGAUGGUGAUGGUGAUGGUGAUGGUGAUGGUGAUGGUGNNNNNNNNNNNNNNNNNNNNNNNNNNNNNNNNNNNNNNNNNNNNNNNNNNNNNNNNNNNNNNNNNNNNNNNNNNNNNNNNNNNNNNNNNNNNNNNNNNNNNNNNNNNNNNNNNNNNNNNNNNNNNNNNNNNNNNNNNNNNNNNNNNNNNNNNNNNNNNNNNNNNNNNNNNNNNNNNNNNNNNNNNNNNNNNNNNNNNNNNNNNNNNNNNNNNNNNNNNNNNNNNNNNNNNNNNNNNNNNNNNNNNNNNNNNNNNNNNNNNNNNNNNNNNNNNNNNNNNNNNNNNNNNNNNNNNNNNNNNNNNNNNNNNNNNNNNNNNNNNNNNNNNNNNNNNNNNNNNNNNNNNNNNNNNNNNNNNNNNNNNNNNNNNNNNNNNNNNNNNNNNNNNNNNNNNNNNNNNNNNNNNNNNNNNNNNNNNNNNNNNNNNNNNNNNNNNNNNNNNNNNNNNNNNNNNNNNNNNNNNNNNNNNNNNNNNNNNNNNNNNNNNNNNNNNNNNNNNNNNNNNNNNNNNNNNNNNNNNNNNNNNNNNNNNNNNNNNNNNNNNNNNNNNNNNNNNNNNNNNNNNNNNNNNNNNNNNNNNNNNNNNNNNNNNNNNNNNNNNNNNNNNNNNNNNNNNNNNNNNNNNNNNNNNNNNNNNNNNNNNNNNNNNNNNNNNNNNNNNNNNNNNNNNNNNNNNNNNNNNNNNNNNNNNNNNNNNNNNNNNNNNNNNNNNNNNNNNNNNNNNNNNNNNNNNNNNNNNNNNNNNNNNNNNNNNNNNNNNNNNNNNNNNNNNNNNNNNNNNNNNNNNNNNNNNNNNNNNNNNNNNNNNNNNNNNNNNNNNNNNNNNNNNNNNNNNNNNNNNNNNNNNNNNNNNNNNNNNNNNNNNNNNNNNNNNNNNNNNNNNNNNNNNNNNNNNNNNNNNNNNNNNNNNNNNNNNNNNNNNNNNNNNNNNNNNNNNNNNNNNNNNNNNNNNNNNNNNNNNNNNNNNNNNNNNNNNNNNNNNNNNNNNNNNNNNNNNNNNNNNNNNNNNNNNNNNNNNNNNNNNNNNNNNNNNNNNNNNNNNNNNNNNNNNNNNNNNNNNNNNNNNNNNNNNNNNNNNNNNNNNNNNNNNNNNNNNNNNNNNNNNNNNNNNNNNNNNNNNNNNNNNNNNNNNNNNNNNNNNNNNNNNNNNNNNNNNNNNNNNNNNNNNNNNNNNNNNNNNNNNNNNNNNNNNNNNNNNNNNNNNNNNNNNNNNNNNNNNNNNNNNNNNNNNNNNNNNNNNNNNNNNNNNNNNNNNNNNNNNNNNNNNNNNNNNNNNNNNNNNNNNNNNNNNNNNNNNNNNNNNNNNNNNNNNNNNNNNNNNNNNNNNNNNNNNNNNNNNNNNNNNNNNNNNNNNNNNNNNNNNNNNNNNNNNNNNNNNNNNNNNNNNNNNNNNNNNNNNNNNNNNNNNNNNNNNNNNNNNNNNNNNNNNNNNNNNNNNNNNNNNNNNNNNNNNNNNNNNNNNNNNNNNNNNNNNNNNNNNNNNNNNNNNNNNNNNNNNNNNNNNNNNNNNNNNNNNNNNNNNNNNNNNNNNNNNNNNNNNNNNNNNNNNNNNNNNNNNNNNNNNNNNNNNNNNNNNNNNNNNNNNNNNNNNNNNNNNNNNNNNNNNNNNNNNNNNNNNNNNNNNNNNNNNNNNNNNNNNNNNNNNNNNNNNNNNNNNNNNNNNNNNNNNNNNNNNNNNNNNNNNNNNNNNNNNNNNNNNNNNNNNNNNNNNNNNNNNNNNNNNNNNNNNNNNNNNNNNNNNNNNNNNNNNNNNNNNNNNNNNNNNNNNNNNNNNNNNNNNNNNNNNNNNNNNNNNNNNNNNNNNNNNNNNNNNNNNNNNNNNNNNNNNNNNNNNNNNNNNNNNNNNNNNNNNNNNNNNNNNNNNNNNNNNNNNNNNNNNNNNNNNNNNNNNNNNNNNNNNNNNNNNNNNNNNNNNNNNNNNNNNNNNNNNNNNNNNNNNNNNNNNNNNNNNNNNNNNNNNNNNNNNNNNNNNNNNNNNNNNNNNNNNNNNNNNNNNNNNNNNNNNNNNNNNNNNNNNNNNNNNNNNNNNNNNNNNNNNNNNNNNNNNNNNNNNNNNNNNNNNNNNNNNNNNNNNNNNNNNNNNNNNNNNNNNNNNNNNNNNNNNNNNNNNNNNNNNNNNNNNNNNNNNNNNNNNNNNNNNNNNNNNNNNNNNNNNNNNNNNNNNNNNNNNNNNNNNNNNNNNNNNNNNNNNNNNNNNNNNNNNNNNNNNNNNNNNNNNNNNNNNNNNNNNNNNNNNNNNNNNNNNNNNNNNNNNNNNNNNNNNNNNNNNNNNNNNNNNNNNNNNNNNNNNNNNNNNNNNNNNNNNNNNNNNNNNNNNNNNNNNNNNNNNNNNNNNNNNNNNNNNNNNNNNNNNNNNNNNNNNNNNNNNNNNNNNNNNNNNNNNNNNNNNNNNNNNNNNNNNNNNNNNNNNNNNNNNNNNNNNNNNNNNNNNNNNNNNNNNNNNNNNNNNNNNNNNNNNNNNNNNNNNNNNNNNNNNNNNNNNNNNNNNNNNNNNNNNNNNNNNNNNNNNNNNNNNNNNNNNNNNNNNNNNNNNNNNNNNNNNNNNNNNNNNNNNNNNNNNNNNNNNNNNNNNNNNNNNNNNNNNNNNNNNNNNNNNNNNNNNNNNNNNNNNNNNNNNNNNNNNNNNNNNNNNNNNNNNNNNNNNNNNNNNNNNNNNNNNNNNNNNNNNNNNNNNNNNNNNNNNNNNNNNNNNNNNNNNNNNNNNNNNNNNNNNNNNNNNNNNNNNNNNNNNNNNNNNNNNNNNNNNNNNNNNNNNNNNNNNNNNNNNNNNNNNNNNNNNNNNNNNNNNNNNNNNNNNNNNNNNNNNNNNNNNNNNNNNNNNNNNNNNNNNNNNNNNNNNNNNNNNNNNNNNNNNNNNNNNNNNNNNNNNNNNNNNNNNNNNNNNNNNNNNNNNNNNNNNNNNNNNNNNNNNNNNNNNNNNNNNNNNNNNNNNNNNNNNNNNNNNNNNNNNNNNNNNNNNNNNNNNNNNNNNNNNNNNNNNNNNNNNNNNNNNNNNNNNNNNNNNNNNNNNNNNNNNNNNNNNNNNNNNNNNNNNNNNNNNNNNNNNNNNNNNNNNNNNNNNNNNNNNNNNNNNNNNNNNNNNNNNNNNNNNNNNNNNNNNNNNNNNNNNNNNNNNNNNNNNNNNNNNNNNNNNNNNNNNNNNNNNNNNNNNNNNNNNNNNNNNNNNNNNNNNNNNNNNNNNNNNNNNNNNNNNNNNNNNNNNNNNNNNNNNNNNNNNNNNNNNNNNNNNNNNNNNNNNNNNNNNNNNNNNNNNNNNNNNNNNNNNNNNNNNNNNNNNNNNNNNNNNNNNNNNNNNNNNNNNNNNNNNNNNNNNNNNNNNNNNNNNNNNNNNNNNNNNNNNNNNNNNNNNNNNNNNNNNNNNNNNNNNNNNNNNNNNNNNNNNNNNNNNNNNNNNNNNNNNNNNNNNNNNNNNNNNNNNNNNNNNNNNNNNNNNNNNNNNNNNNNNNNNNNNNNNNNNNNNNNNNNNNNNNNNNNNNNNNNNNNNNNNNNNNNNNNNNNNNNNNNNNNNNNNNNNNGACCUCGAGCCCCGAGAUGGUGCCCGCGUCCUUCGUGGCUUGGCGCUGGGAGUCAUUGAAGUACGCCGGUACGGUAAUAACGGCCUGCCGUACACGGCUGUUGGGCCCCAAAUAGGCCUGGCUUGGGUUGGAGAGCGGAAGGGGGUGCGGGUGCGGGUGCGGGUGCGGGUGGGAGCAUGAACUGCUCGUUAGAAGACGGAAGGUAUCCAAAUUAUUACUUCUGUUUUUUUUUCAAACAUGGCAAGUGUGCAAGUGGUGGGCGUGAGACGCACUGUAACUGAAAAUUGAACUGAAACUGAAACUGAAACUGAAACUGUCGCCGCGGGUUGAAUGAGAGGCUUGGGGGGCAUAAUCUGCUCACGGAGGGGCGGACGUACAUUUGAGGGUACGUCGGUAUGUAUGUUUAUCUGUGUGUAUGCGUAUGUGUGUAUGUGUAUGCGCGUGUGUUUUGGAUCUUGACGUUUCGAGUCUUGGGGGAGUUCCCUCCCCAGGUAAAGCUCCGUACGUGGCGUACGCCGUGUUGACACGGACGUUUACGUUUAUCUACCAUCGCUCCCUGUCCCCAACCCCCCUUCCAGCGGGUGGUGGGUAGCGGGCGGGGGAUGGCCUCCAGUACUGGUGCUCUACGGCAGCUGCAUGCGGGAGGUGCGGCAGCAGCAGCAGCAGCAGCAGCAGCAGCAGUAGCCACAGGUGAGAGGAAUAUGACGACACUGCCGAAGGAGAUGCUACCACUCCACUCCCCAUCCACCGGGGCUCCUGCUGCUGCUGCCGCCGCCUCAGCCGCCGCCAGAGUCUGUGUUUAUCCAACAACCCCAAACCCCGUGUUUAUCCCUUCCCCCCAACCCCCCACCCCNNNNNNNNNNNNNNNNNNNNNNNNNNNNNNNNNNNNNNNNNNNNNNNNNNUCCCCUGGAUGAGCGGCUGUACGACAAAAGUACGACACCAGAUACACGGUAUUUGGCAGGGCGGUACGGCAGGCCAAAAAAUCAUUCUGAGGGGGGUCUUCUGUUGUGAAGCAUUGCGACAGUCAGUUUGUAUGUCAUCCAUACUUGUAUACACAUGUACGUGUGCAUGUAUGUGUGCAUGUAUGUGCGCAUGUAUGUGUGCAUGUAUGUAUGCAGGCAGGCAGGUAUGCUAACCCCCAAAACCCCUAAAGUAUGCCUGCAUACAUGCACGUCCCACUGCUUCUAGCUGUACGCCGUGCGAACCCUUUUCUCCCCUCGUACUGCUCCCCCCUACCACCCCGCUCGUGUCCAUUCGCACCCUCGUCGCAUCCCCGCGGGGCUUCCUCCCCUCGUACUGCUCCCCACCCACCCACCACCCCUUCCCCCCCGCACCUUAUCCCCCGGUCCCUGAAUGACUUUAAACGGCCAGUGUUUCAUGUCCUCCUGGACCACCGGGUCAUUGAACUUACGACCGAUGAGCCGCUUGGCGUCUAUAGUUGAUUUGCGAGGGGGGGGGGAGAAGGGGGGGAAGGGGGAGGGGGAGAAGGGAAGCCGUUAGGGGGAGGACGGCCGUUAGGGGGAGGACGGCCGUUAGGGGGAGGACGGCCGUUAGGGGGAGGACGGCCGUUAGGGGGAGGACGGCCGUUAGGGGGAGGACGGCCGUUAGGGGGAGGACGGCCGUUAGGGGGAGGACGGCCGUUAGGGGGAGGACGGCCGUUAGGGGGAGGACGGCCGUUAGGGGGAGGACGGCCGUUAGGGGGAGGACGGCCGUUAGGGGGAGGACGGCCGUUAGGGGGAGGACGGCCGUUAGGGGGAGGACGGCCGUUAGGGGGAGGACGGCCGUUAGGGGGAGGACGGCCGUUAGGGGGAGGACGGCCGUUAGGGGGAGGACGGCCGUUAGGGGGAGGACGGCCGUUAGGGGGAGGACGGCCGUUAGGGGGAGGACGGCCGUUAGGGGGAGGACGGCCGUUAGGGGGAGGACGGCCGUGGGGAAGCAGGGAUAAGAGGGAUAAGAGGGAUGGGGGGUAGGUGGUGGGGGGUGGGAUUCUACACCCGUGGAGAAGGGCAGAGGGGCCUGGUCAAGGAAGGAAGGAAGGAAGAAAGAAAGGAAGGAAGCCAUCAGGUAGACCGACCCACCGACCCACCGAAGACGGUGUUGUGCGGGUUCAUCGCCACCUGGUUCUUGGCAGCAUCGCCGAUGAGCCGCUCCGUGUUGGUGAAGGCCACAUAGGAGGGUGUGGUGCGAUUGCCUUGGGAGUUGGCCACGAUUUCCACGCGGUCAUUCUGCCACACGCCCACACAGCUGCGAAGGUAAUAACGUUUAAGAGGCAGUUUAACCGAUCUAAAAUAGAAUUUCAGUGAUAAGGAAAAUCUCUUUGUUGGUGAUACAAAGUAGAAAAAUCAGGCGGGAAUAACUCAACGACGACAUGAAAAAUAGCGGCUUUGGUAUUGUGAUGGAGAUUAUGUAGACGCAAUGCAGCCGUUGUAGCAGUGGUGGCGCCGGGGAGGCUCAGACGCAGCUCAUCAAAUUAUUGGGCAGGCAGCAGUGGGAGAAAUCGUGGAAGGAGUGAGGUAAAAGAGUGUGGAGGUGGGGAGUUUGGAGAGGAGAGCGAGUCAGAGCUCCUAGCGGCAGGGUACGGAUGAUGCGGAGAAGGGAAGAGGGAAGGAAGGACUUCUUUAUUACCUUGGAAUACCUUUCCAUUAAUUAUUAUGAUUUUAUGAUGCGAGGGUGAUGCGAUACAGCGCGAUGAGGGCAUAGCAUGACAAGUUUGGAAAAAUGAUAACACGAACGAGGAUAAGAGAUAAGCGCAGGUGAGGAGAAGCAUUAACCAAAGACGUUAUUAACUCCUGACAGGCUUGACUUGACUUGAAUUGCGUGAGGAAUACUUUAUUUUUCUUACGUGCGUUAUGUCUGUGAAAACGCACAUCGGGGCUUCUUUUUUUCCUUUUGAUGCUAUAACUGUAGCUUAGAACAUGCCGAGCAAUUGACAGCAGGAGGUGGAGGAGAGCGUAGUCGAGCGAUUUACAGGAGGUGGAGGAAGAGGAGGAGGAAAAGGAACGCGGCGACGAUAGAUGCCUUGCGGCCCAAGCGACUAACGAACAUCUUUUUUUGUCGUCUUUGUCUUUAUUACGACAGUCGCCCCCGACACCGUAACGUUAACCUUUAUGAAGGGUCCAUGGCUUCCCCGGCUUUGAUGGAUGGUCCCCUCCGCACUUGGACACUGUGUCUGCAACUUUAUUUGUUAUCCCGCCAGUACUCUACGCGCGCGCACCUGUAGGUUGUCCCGAGGUCGAUGCCAACUGCUGGCGUAAUGUUAACCGACAUCUUUCAACCGACAGAGCAGUCUAAUCGUAGCUAUAUUGGAAGUCGCUCCUUGGUUGAGAGUUGUAAAGCGCCUCCCGACCGAUUCUGCUACCAAUUCGAAUCUCCUGCCAAGCAGAGCCUUCGAGGUCAGUUCUCGGACCAAACUAGGAAAUUAACGAAUCAGAAAAGGAAAACUGGUAGCUGGAUUGCAGAGUUUAUUAAGAAAACCUUCGCUGAAGUAACACUUUCACACCGCAUCGCGUUUCGUGAGAGUUGUAUCAGAACCUUGACUGGGUUAUAUUGCAAGGCUGAGCUCCAGGGUGACCAUGCGGCCCCGCACACGGUGUCGCGGACUCGCGGUGCUUCGAUCCGACAUGCAACUGACACACAAACGAUCCGACGAUUGCCCUAUAGAAUACAACAUGAACAAUCGCGAUACGGCUGCAUCCUCCGAAGCAGUCCUAAUUUAGCGUUUGACCCCUUGAUCCCGUCUCUCACGACUUCUUCCUGCCGUUGGCGAAGCAUACUAAAUUGCUUUGGGCAGCAGCGCCACACAACAUAGAGCUCCUUCCGGUCGGUCUGUUGGAAAUGCCAAAAAGACCCACGGGUCACUCUUCGUCCCCUCGCCUGUCUCUGAUCUAUUAAAUGUUACAAAGGAGUUUUCGUUGCUGGGCCACCACCCAACCACCUUCCUGAGAGUGUCUUAUUUGUUAUCUGUUGGUCGACUGAGAAGUUUCCGGCGGAAGACGCCUUUGAAGCGCCUUUGGAUCUCGAGUCAGUUCUGUAUAUGCAUAUAUAUGCAUAUGGGAUCUCCUUUAUUUACCGAAUAUGUUGUUCCUGGCUGCUGUCUGAAGCAAGCAAUUUUAUAAACCUAACCUUAUUUGUCCAAUCCAACUGCACAAGGAUUAUUACAGCGCUUUGACACACAUGGUAUCGUCUGUAUAUAUUGGCGCUAUCCGCCGCUGGUGAUGGUGGUGAUGGUGGCAACAGCAGACAACAGCAGAGAAAGUCGAGUAAUGUAGCGGUGGGAUAACUUGGCGAAUAUUCAGCAGCGCUCUCCUUUCGCAAACGAAUAAAUGAAUAUAUAAACCCGCAUCUAAAACAAGCUGUUCUCGCUAGUCAUCACUUGUCGUCGCACCCAACUUCAGCUAGUCUAGACCAGCAGAGCCGAAGAUAGGAAUGUGUUCAAACGCCGCUGCUGAUGUUAAUUUUUUGGCGCCACCGCCUUCAAACAGCACAAGUAAACCUGGCCGUCCAAUUGCAAGGCCAGUUAGCCACACCAAGGAAAACUUAGAAACAAAAAACAGUAAUAUCUUGCCGUACAGUUCCUUUCAUCUACCGUACAUUCAUGUAGCCAAGUAAACUGGCACAGGUAAAGCUUAGGGACGAUAACAACGCAUAUUCAACAUCCGGCAGAAUCACAGUCCAGCGGUUGCAACGCACGAGAUAAUUGUGGCGUGUAUGUAUAUUUCGUACAGAUUCUUCGUACAUCGCUGGAAUGCUCCCCCUUCCGCAGAAUCGGGUCCAGCAAAGCAUCUCAUCUGCCAACAACGUUGCCGUACAACUUCAUAUCUUCUUCUUAAACAUUAAUGUACGACAGGUAGAGGUCUGGAAUUUUUUCAUGAAUGGACAGUGCAGGAGGUUUUAUUAACGAAACGCCAACGAAAAAACGAACGACGUUUCGCGCGUACCGCAAAGGUGCGUGUUUGAUGUUCGCGUGUGCGUGUGUUGCAAGGGUCUGAGCCGCGAUGGCGAAUGCCUGCUGUCAUGGUGGUACAGCAGCAGCAGCAGCAGCACAAAUGAGCAGUAACUUUAGGCGGGCGAAAGCGACAGCUCCGAACAGUCGCCGCAAAGCGACGUGUUAGCUAGACCUUCCAAUGAAACUAUGUUACAGUAGACGUAGCUGUUUGAAUCUCUCUCUCAAGUAGAUGUCGAUGUUAAAGGAGUGAUGUGGUGUCGAGAGCCCGUUGGAGCAAACGGGGGCGCUGUAUUGGCGAAGAUCGACCUGCAGGUAGUGGGCUGUUAGAACUAACUAAAGACAUCGAGGGCUGCCUCUCUGUGUGAACAUAUUUGUGUCGCAAUACAUAAAAACCCUACUCCAACAAGAAUCAACUGGUUCGCACGAAUUCAUGGGUGUGCAUAUUAUCGUACACAAUAUCAACAUCAACACUAGCAUAACUCAACGACCUAAGUCGGCGUUUACCCAACACGGGGUGCCGUAUUGACCAUGAACACAUAUGCACGUGAGUACGGGUGUAAUGGAUUAUAGUAACGGAUUGCAUUCCGUACGUGUACGGCACGUGGCAACCGAAUGGGAGUCCCUCAGAGUCCGUUCACUGUCUACCCUUCCACCCCCCGAUGCGGAUUGGUGGUGAUUGAAAUAGCUAUAUUAGCCGAGAUGGGGGGAAGGUUGGGGCCCAAGGUGAAGAAGAGACGAGGGAGAAAAAUGCCAAUCAACAUCUCUAAGGAUUGUAAGCGUCCAUGUCCAAGCCCAUGAUGCAGGUCACCGCAGACAGAUCGACAUCACCAUCGACUAUUUCGGCUUAUGCCGUUACACUUAUUUAUGAAGUUUUUUGACUGUAUUGACUGCGAGCUCCAUUUAUUACUCUGCUUUAUUUUUCCGGCAUGGCCAGAGGGGGGUACAUCACAACAUUUUAUUAUCCCGGCCAUCAUCCUCGUCAUCACCGCGCCAUCAUUAUCGCACACCGACAGACACCGACAUGCCAACAACGGCGCCGUGAUCACCUUACACGAAAAUUGCAUAUUGACGACUCCUCGUCGUACACAUUGCGGAACCAUGAAUUAGGUCUUAGGGUUUUGUCCCGCCACAGGAGACUCACCACAAUGCUACCACAUGUCAGGCAAGCCGUACUUGUCGUACAAAUCUUGCCCCAGACGCUGCACGAGGCAAGGUGUUACCAUGCGUUGCACGUGAUGUGCAUGUAUGUGUGCCCAGGCAAACCCAUGUGUGACCCCCCUCUGCUUGCCAUAUUGCAUGUAGCGGCCACUGGGGCGACAUCAUUUUUGCACAGAACGGUUCCCCGAACACCACGAACACACAUACAUACAUACAUACAUACAUACAUACAUACAUACAUACAUACAUACAUACAUACAUACAUACAUACAUACAUACAUAGGGUUGAGGAGUGGUGAGUGGAAACAGGUGGCCGUAGCGAGGGCGCGGAUGAGGGGGAGGUGGGCACCCAGAAGGGGGGGCCGUACUCGAAGGUGCGCGCGUGGUGCAGGACUAGGUUCUUCAGGGUACGAGACCGGGUUUUUCGUGGUGCGGCGUCUAGGUGAGAUAGGAUCUUGGGAACCAGCCGUCUUGGUAGAGCGGUAUUGGGGGGGCGCCGAGCUGGCUACCCUCCCCCCCUGUGGUUUCCGGAGGCUUGAUCGCCCUGCGUUGCCGCAGGGUCUUCCCGUUUGAGUACUUUUCAAUUUAGACCCAGUGCUGUGGAAGGGCGCGGACUUGUGCGGUGUUACCCCCUCGACGGGGGCUAUCUCCCCUGGACUAGCCCAGGGAGGGAGAGGCGGAGGAGGGUAGUAGUCUCAGGAGGCUGUUUGGCGUCUUGUGGUGUGAGCUCUUUGCGCUCUUUUUUGCGUGAGGAUUUUUGAGCUUGGUGACCUCCCCAGCCCGGGAAGACUCGUCGGGCUCCCGGUCGCCCAAGUCCUGGUAGCGAGCUCUCUGAGAUGCUCGGUUCGUUCGGUCGGCAGGAAGAGCCCCCCAGUUGCGACUUCGUUUAUGUUAGGAGACCAACGGGCAUAGAUCCCGUCUAGUUGGAGCGCCAAACAAGCGCUGUUGCGUGCCGGCCGUCGUUUCCCGUGCGGCCUGACCCGGGGGCGGAGUGCAUGAGACUAACCAGCCGUAUGCACCCGCCCCCCGCGCUGUGCUUCGGCCCUGGGCCCCCGGCUUUUCAGCCCACAGUGUAAUCAACGUCAUACAUACAUACAUACAUACAUGGAGGGGCUGCGGAGUGGCUGCGUAGAGUGUUGGCAGUCUGAGUCGGGGUCGGGAGCACACAAGACUAACCGACUUGUGCUGUGUGCUCCCGACCCUUGCGCUGUGUUUCGGCUUCGGCCCCCGGCUCUCGCGGCCCACAGUGUAAUCUAAGUCAUACAUACAUACAUACAUACAUACAUACAUACAUACAUACAUACAUACAUACAUACAUACAUACAUACAUACAUACAUACAUACAUACAUACAUACAUACAUACACAUAUGUAAAUGCCAAUACAUGAUCGUGUACAGUAGUGCAGGGUGCCCUUCCAUUGGAGGGUGGAGUACCUUACCUUAAGUCGUACCGUACGGCAGCUGCAAUGCACAUGUACGGCCAUAUCCCCCAGUCCACAGCUCUCCCAGCAACCCAACCCCGGGUGUUUGUGUGUGUUUGUGUAUUAAUAUGUGUGUAUGUGUCAUUACUGGGUUUCGUUUCCAUAAAAAAAUCUGUGCUUAAACCUGAGAGAACCGUUCCGGGUUUGAAACAUAGCAGCAUUGGCAGUAGCAGCAUUGGCAGUAGCAGUGGCAGCAUUGGCAGCAGCCGCAGUUGCGGCAAAUAAACCGUCUUCACCGUCCAGUCACCGCAAUCAUGAAUAGCUCCAACAGCAACAACACCUCACACUGCAAGAGGCGUGUUUGUUGGCGGGCACAACCCCAAAAGGGCCCAAAACUCGGAUAGUUCAGGAGGAACGCAGCAACCAAUACAACCGAGAACAUCGAGAUCGAGGAGAAUAAAGCCGCCGUCUCCCCCCCUGGUUUUUCCCUCUCCCUUUCUAUAGGAGGGGAAGACGCUGAUAAUCGAGAUUGCCAACUGUCGCCAGCUUUGCAUCCUCCUGACCAGCUUUACAUCGCCAUCUCCGGAAAUGCGGUAGCGGUAAUAAGCCCCGCAAACACCCCAACAUGUAUCUAUACGCACACACACACGCGCGUCCGGUCAUCAUCGUACGGAACUACGUAUGUCUAGCUAUCUCCUCCCAUCCCCCGGCCCCAGGAAUCAAACGCUCCUGACGCCCGGGACGAAAAUUCAACACCUUGAUAAAUUACCCUAUAGUUCCUUUGUGCAAUCUUUUCUAUUUUUUUCUUUUGCAAAAACAAUCCUUAUUCCUUUCCUUUGCAACAUAUAUACGAGGCCAGGAAUGCAGACAUACCGACGUAUCUCCCCCCAUACACACACGGCGAUACACACGUGAAUACACAUCCACACGCACGCAAAUCAUUCGUACGCAAACCAGUAUACAUGCCAGCUGCAAGCUAGGAUUGGAUUGACGCGAAAACCUAGGCAUCUUAACCCCACCAUCACCAUCACCAUCACCAUCACCAUCACCAUCACCAUCACCAUCACCAUCACCAUCACCAUCACCAUCACCAUCACCAUCACCAUCACCAUCACCAUCACCAUCACCAUCACCAUCACCAUCACCAUCACCAUCACCAUCACCAUCACCAUCACCAUCACCAUCACCAUCACCAUCACCAUCACCACCACCCUACCCAGCCACACGUGCAAAACAAGGUGAUUGCUCUCCUUCAUUCGCGGGGCUCAUCACAUCAGCUCGCAAGUCCCCUCGUACACAUCUCUCCUCUCUCCUUGUAUCUCAUGCUACAACACUCCUCAGCUCCAUCUCCACUUCGAAACCCAUUAACACCAAAUCGUUCAUUUGGCUCAAAAGGUGUGAAAAAAUGCUUGAAGCAUAUGAAUAUAGGGCCAAGGAGAUGUGCCCAAACACCUGCCAUGCGCCGCCAAGGCCACUCCAUACAAAAAACAGACAACACACAAAAUACGCUUAUCGUGGGGGUUAUCGUCGGCCAGCUGAAACACACACAUGGACCCACAUGGAGGUGUGAAUCGAAACACGUUAUGCAUAUAUACAUACAUACACACAUACAUACACACAUACGGCUCAUCCAUUCGCAGCACAGCACACACUCAGCUCAUUACUCCUUCGCGAAAUCAGAACCCGUAACGUUACGCACUUCCUAGGGAAGGUCAAACCCCGGCUUCCACGAGCCUCCACCAGCCUCGGAGAAAAAAUAAAUGUAGACGCCAAUAGACUUGCGGUUGGGCGGGGGCCAAGAGGCAGCGAGAGAAUGAAAAAGAUGACAUGCAAUACGUACCCACGUAACCCCAAGGCGUAUCCCCCCCCACCCCCCCAGCUGCAAAAGCAAUGACGCAUAUUUCCCCUUUCCGUCGCGUUACGUCUGGCCCCUAACAACCGUCGGCAACGUCAGACUUCGGCGACUGGAUGGCAGCCCCGCCAGCCUGCAGUCUACCGCAGGUACCGCCGACGAGGAUGGCGACGGCGACGGCGACAUCGCGCCGUACAACGACGCGCUGGGUGACGUCGGACUGAGGCAUGACGACGACGCCACGCAGCCAGCGGGUGACGGCGACUGCAUCAUCGCCAUCGGCGUGAUAGAUCCGGAUCCAGAUGUCUGACGGCGCAGUUGGUACGGCACCGGGCCGCUGCUGCAGCCACCGCCGCCGCCGCCGCCGGGCGGUGUCGGAAUCAGCGCAUGAGGGCUAAGGGUCGCGGCGGCGGUGGGGGAGCUGACGCUGGCGCUCCGGGCCACUAGCACCGGCGACGGUGCUCCAGUGCUGGACCGAUGCAUACCGCCGCCGCCGCCGCCGCCGCCGCCACCAGCGUGACGUGUCGUCAACUGGCCCCUCGAUGUAGCGCGGACCUUCAUGCUGCUAAGAGCCCCGUGGUGGUAGAGGGACGACUCCAAAGCGAUGCUGGCGGUGACAGCGACGGCGGCGGCGGAUGAUAAUGUGGUCGAUGCGGCGCUGGCGGCUACCGUUGUGACCGUAUCUGUGUUUGUGGGCACUAUAGCGUUGGACAUCGUGGCUGUGAGGAACGGAGUGACCGCUGUGGCGGUAGCAGCAACAGUAGCAGUAGAGGUGGCUGUAGUUGUAGAGGGCGGUGAGGAUUUGGGCCCGGUGGGGCCGGUCUCUGCCGGAGAUGUGCUGCUUGAGUUGAAGAACCUGACCGCCCGGACCGGACCGGGAGGCAGGGAUGCGCGUGUGUCAGGAAAGGGGUUGGGUUGGGGGGGGAAACGAGGGGGAGCGGGGUUUCGGAGCGGAUACGGACUGGGGCAGAGAGGGAAGGGUUGAAGCGAGGGAAACGCGGGCGAUGGAUCAGAUCAGCAGAAGCACAAUCGGAAGGUGGCGUUCACUUUUAUUGCAGGUGCCGCCCAGUGCUGAGCUGUACUGUAAACGCGGAUUGUGAGCGAAGCACGGAUUAUCACUCAGAGAUCCCACAGCGGUCACACAGAGGUCACACAGAGAACUCACCCACGCAGGAGGAUCUUCAGAAACCUCCCGCUAGCGAACCCACUGCUGCUGCGACUGCCGGUAACCUGAGAUGAUGAUGUCGCUGGACCUCGAGCUAACCCCCCGUCAUGACUCACACUGCCCCCGCCGCCGCCGCCGCCGCCGCCGCCGCCGCCGCCGCCGCCGCCGCCGCUACUCACAAAUCCAGAACCCAGGCCGCCGUCGGCGCCGCUGCCGCCACCAUCCAUAGACUCCUCUCGCGCGGCAGCUCCCCCCCACGCUUGAAUGUACGGUAACUGGGCGGUUGACGUCCCAGUGCCGAACAAUGUCCCAAUGGAGCGCCGUACAGAUUGCACGUGGGUGGCUGAAUCAGCCAUUUCCACAUUGGACGGCCGACGCGGUGAAACCGCCGCGGCCGCCGACGACGACGACAUUGACGACGUCGCCACCGCCAUCGGGCUUAAGGGACCCCCCAUUUGCUGUUGGUGGUGCUGAUGUUGGGAUGGGGAUGGGGAUGGGGAUGGGGACCCAGCCGUGGUUCUGGAGCCCACAUCUGUGAAGGUUGUACGACGCAGUGUACCAGGGGAUUUGGAUUCCGUGAAGGAUCUCGCGGCCUGGAGAGUCCGGCGGCUAGUGGGUGGAGUUCUGAAGGGAAAGGCGGCGGCGGCGGCGCCGCCGAGCAUGCCGCCGGCGGGGAUUGUGAUGCUGGAGGCAUCGAAAGUGACGACGGAGGAGCGCCGUUUCUCUGAUGCGGACUGGGCGACUGGAGUGCGGGUUGCCUGCUUGCAAGGGUUUUUGCACGGGGUUCAGGGGAGAGGAGGGAAGGUGCCUGGGGUUGGUGGGAGAAUAAUCAACGAAGUCAUCUUAGGUUGGGGGUUGGGUCGGGCUGGUGAGGGUGGCAGGCAGCAGCUCUGGGUGGGGCUGGAGGGUACGGGGUGGGAUAUAAAACGAUAUAAAACGUGGCUGAGUAUUGGGAUACAAAGGGAAGGACGAGGUCCUGGGGGGAAGGGCGGCUGCACGGGGGGACAGCUGCUAGGCGCUUGGAGGAUGGGAAGUCGGCGAGUAGGGCGACAGGGGAGAGGGCCGGCUUUGCGAUUGAGGGUUGAUGCAAUUGAGGCGUUUUUCAAUUUAAGUGCUUUACGACUUUAGGGUGCAAACGAACUGGGGAAUAAGUAACUGUAAGGAUUAAGCUUGGGAGUUAAGGACAGGUCUUUCUUGGUUACGAACCACGUUACCCUUUAGUGUUUGCAAUAGUGGAAACCACCUGAUAUGCGUAAUAUUUUUAUUGAUGAAUAAUUUGCAACUGAUGAUUGGUAGAGGCCUUUGACGUUCAUUUUCUAUCCUUUCAUGUUAAUUGGAGGUCGGAACUUUACCGGGACAGGUAGGUCGUUGUCGUCCUCCGAGUCUUCGACCUGCAUCGGCUGAACAGGAGCAAAUUGAAGCACCUGCCCUGAAUUAUUCAUCGGCGCCAUGUCGGUCUCUGAGGUUUCCUGCAGCUGGCCUGAAGCGUGCUGCGCGGCGGCAAGCAAUGCUUCCAGCUCGGCCAUGAGUGCCUCGCUGCGGUCGGCAUCCUGGUGAAGUCCGCAUAAUAGCUGCUCUGUUUCCUUUAUCAUGAUGCUGGCUCGGCGAUCCUUGCGUUGUCCCACAGGAACAGUUGGCAGUGCAGCUGCGUAAGGAGCGUACAACCGGGACAUACUGCCUCUUUAGCGUCAACAAUAUAAAGUAAUCCCUCAAACAACUGAUAUCUCUUUCAACUUGGACGAUAUGAAGUAAGGUUCAUUUAACAAACGGAACCGGGUCCCAGAGGCCAAGUAGAACUUCUUGAACUCGACCCGUAACUCGACAGGAUUACAACACGCACUUGUAAGGCACGUGCGGUGCAGCAAAUUAUUCUGGCAGCAUAUGAAAGCAAAUGCCGAAAUUCGCUGCGCUACCCACCUGGGGGAUUGCAAUUGUCUUGUGCGUUAGGGCCUGGCGAUGCCAUUUUAAAUCAGCGUUAUAUUUUAAAGUUACAAGCUGCUUUCGAUAAAGCUUUGCGAGUCAGUUGUUAUCCUUCCGUCCCGAGAGUUGGAGCUUCCUAACAUCUAGGCGCAAGGAAUAGCUGGAAAGUACAUAAGCGAGCACCAGUUAUCUCGUAAUUAUUGUUUCAGUUUAUUGACGCAGUACGUAUGUUUAGAUGCAACAGCAUCAACGUAACUGAAUGUAACCGUACUGAUAGAAGGUCCGACGCCGCAGAAAGUUUGAGGCGCAAUUGAAAACAGUAAUACGAUAAAAUCCAUACCUUCGAUACGCAAAUGAGGUUUCGUGGUUCACCUAACAGCGAGGCAUGUGCACGCCUACUGUAUGUCCGACCGCAAAAGUUCACCGUAGCUAGCCAGCAGCCGUUGUAAACUGAGAGCAUUCUUGUCUCCUUAGCCGCACAAGAGUGGUGCAGUACGCAAUAAUGGAAUGCCAAAAUACAAGGUUUACGGUGGAGGAGAUUUCCCUGACCAAUACAGAUACAAUCCAUUCACACUUGUACUGAUAGCGCUGCGGUACGGGAUUGCGGCCGUUUGGAAAGGCCACGAUGGAUCGGGGCUUGGAGCGAACUUACGCCGCCGCAGCCAGGGGCUAAACCUUUUGUGGCCUAACUAAAGAGCCCUGGGAAGAUGCCAUGCGAGCGUGCGCACGCCGUCGGAGCCGGCGCUGUUGGGGACGCGCCCGCCCCCCGCGCUGAAGUUACUGGCAUCGGCAACGGUCGUGAGACACCCCCCCGCUGCUUUAGGCUCCAGCCCCCUUCCGACGCCCGCAGUACACGCUCGCACGUCCCCGGUUCCUCGCGCAACGAACACGCGCGCGCUGCUGGCCUUCGCAUUUGUAUUCCAUGUAGAUAUGCAAUCAAUUGUAUUACGAAUUUCGCAGCGCUCAGAAUUUACAGCACAUCUUUUUGGCUCAUUCCUAGACCGGUUCAGGAAUAAGGAAGUUUGUUUGCUGAUGUCGCGUCUGUUACUUUUGUCGCCAUGAACAAGGUUGUGGGACAAAAUGGCUAUACGAUGCCUCUGAGAGCUCCAUCCUCGUGUGAACUUUCGGGGCCCAUUUAUCUUCCUUGCUAAAGCCGAUAGCUAUUAUCAUAUUGUGCGUCAUUCAAUUUUUUGAAGAUAACGCCACCAUCAAGGGACUCCUUGCCCUCUGGGAUUUAUACAAAGAAAAAUAAAUUCCUAUUAUAGAGUUCUAUCUGUCUCGGCUUUUUCCCCUCCGGCACUUCCCAUCCGAAUGGCAAACCAUCAAGUUUAAAUGAUCUGCAGCCCCCCAACGGCUGUCGUUACUUCGAGGAGAAUGGCGUACACAAAGACACGUUCGAUUCGACAGUUUCCUUUCCGUUGUCUCUCAAAAAAAAAGCUCUCAAGUGCAGCUGCCUGCCUCAUGCAUACGAUUUUACGGUACUGUUGACAUGGACACGCCGUACAAACGGUUCAUUUUCUCCUUAUACACUCCUCAGGAAUUCAGGUCCCGAGCUUGCACCUUCACAACAUACCCAACAUCUAAAUUUGGGUCGUAAGGAUAGUUCCCGGGAUAGGUAGUUGUUUGCCACACGCCUUUGCCACAGACACCCGAUAUGUCGUACAUCCGCGCAAGCUGGAAGUCCGAAACCUUUAGCAUCCUUCCGCGUUCCGCUGACAAUCACCGUCGUCAUCAGCACGGCAUAGCUGGCUGGCUUCUCGCCCUGUGGAAAUAGUAAUUUUUUAAAGCUAAAUACAAUACCAGGGAAAUGGAGAACCGGAAAUUUGUUAAAGAAAGGGGAGCUUUCACGCCUUUUCCCCCCGCUCUCUCGCAAUUGUACGCAGGGCGACAGUCGCAGCGCGGGCAUAUGUGCCGCUUUGGCGGUCAAUAAGUAAUAUUCGGGGUAAAAGAUUUCAUUACAAGUAAUCCAAGCAUGUACGACAUGUACGACAUGUACAACUGCUUUCCUUUGGACAUCUUCGUGAGUGCAUAUACGCGUGCAUAUGCACGUGAGAGAGAGAGUGUGUGUGUUUGCAUGCCGUACAAUCUACACAUGUUGUCAAGGAAGCAACCCACUGCUCCCAAAUUCUGUGGGAGUUCAUUUCCCUUCGCCCCUAGACACACACGCACAUACAUACAUACAUAUAUGCGCACACACACAUACACACAUGCACACACACAUAUACAUGUAAACGGGCACCCAACCUACCAAAGCCCGUAAAGGCGGUUCCCUUCUCCGUCCACUCAGCCGUUCCCGUUCAUGUCUACAAAAGUCGUCUCCAAGAGCCACGAUAAAGUCAAAAUGUCAAAACGUGUGUACAUGUGUGUACGUGUGUGUGUGUGUGUGUGUGUGUGUGUGUGUGUGUGUGUGUGUGUGUGUGUGUGUGUGUGUGUGUGUGUGUGUGUGUGUGCGUGUGUGUUUCUGUAAAGCGUGCCGUGGGUCACACGUCGAUGCAUGGAUGUGAAUCCUUGGCCCCACAAAGCCAAUGGCCGUACAGUCGUACGCACAGCACCUAAUAGGAAACGGAGACGCGUGUGUUUCCUGCACCGUCUCUGCUCCCCCCAACCCCCCAACCCCAAACUUCUCCCCCACACUCCUCCUUCCCCCCCAUUACGAGGGGAAACCCUCUCCUCCCCCCCUUUACCCCCCCCACGUGCUCCAUGCACCAGCGCUCCGUCUAACCCCCCAGACCCCGUUCCCAUCCGUCCAAGGGAACACUUUGGAGGUUUCCGAAAUUCAGGGCUCCCUGUGCCGUACAUGCCCUCCAUGCACAAAACACGCCCGUCUAAUAGCGGUCAAAGCAGCAACCAGCUAAACUCGAAGUCCUCCGAGAGCUCGCCUCCCCACAUACUACUCCCCCCCUCCCCCCUUCCCCCUCUCCCCCUCCGGUGGGUUCGGGGCCGCCUUCGCGGACAGCGAUCCAACCACCCAACCACCCAACCACCUAGCCAAGCGAUGCAAACUAAAAAAUGCAACCUUCAUUCCGUCCCCCCCACACACGUGAAUACACUAAACACACACACACGCACGCACACACACACACACACACACACGCACACACGCGUUGCAGCGCCCUUCAUCCCGGAUUGGUCUCUCCCGCUCCUCCUCCCCCUGCUGCUGCUGAUGGUGCUCCUCCUCCUCCUCCUCCUCCUCCUCCUCCUCCUCCUGCUGCUAUCCUGUUCUUUGCACUGUGUACCACCGCUAGCACUAGUACCGUUAAAAAGUGUUAUAUCCCGAUGCUGCUGUGUCGCUGCUGCCUCCCCACUUCCGCUGCCAGUGACCCCCCCCCCAUCCCUCCCGCCGCUGCUACCUCUUAUACCCCUUCCACCACCUCCCCCCCCUUCAGGCCACUCAGUGCGAUCCCACGCCGUGCAUGGCCAGCUCGCAGUCCGGGUCGCCGUCACAUUCACAAGGUUUAUAGCUCUCCACGGGCUGGUACGGCUUCGGUAUGUAAUCUGUCGUAUACAUGCUGACGCCCUCGAAGGGCCCUUUGCCUCGGAGCGCUCGAGUGCCACUCGUGGGCCGACCCGCCAUCGCCCGCAAGCCGCCAUUCAUCUUGUGGAAAUCCGUACGGUACGUUGUCGUACCGUCAAAAGGUCCCACGGAAGCCAGGUUUCCAGAUGCGCUGGGGCCUGCCUUCGUGACGGGUUGCGUGCCCCAGUUUUGGAAGCUGGUCUUCAUUUCGGUGGUGUCCUGGAAGGGGCCGGCGGCGGGCUGGAGCUUGGCGGAGGGACGGAUACGUUGGUAUGGCACGUCCUGUGGGGGCGGGUAGGGGGCAGAGGGGCGGGGGGCCGGGGGUUUAGCGCCAAAAGGGUAAAAAAAACAUGUACACGCAUACGUAUGUAUAUGUAGUAAAGGCAUUUCCUGAAACAAUAACAUAAAAACACACACAGGCACGCGGCCAAAGACAUUCGGCGAACACGUCCGGACGACAUGCCGUACUUCCAGGGGGUUUGUCCAACCCUCCACCGACCACAAAAGGACUUCCACUCCCCCCCCUCGCACCCUCCUCCCCCCAGACAAACCCCGGAUACGCAAGUCUACCCCGUCGUACCUUCUUGACGUACGUGUCCUUGUACGUGCUGACGCCCUCAAACGGCCCCGAGUCCCGCGGGUCGUCAGCCGGCCGCCCCGCACGUUCGUACUCCGGUGCCGUACGCGGCCGAAACUCCGUGCCGUACGUCGUCGACCCCGAAAACGGCCCCUUGGGCAACGCUGCGCCCGAUGCACCCGUGGUGGCCGCGGCCCGCGGCGGGGGGUCCCCGGCCUUCUCCACGUAAUGCCGCCGGUACUCCGUUGACGGCACGCCGUCGUACCAACCAUCCGGCCGCAUCGUCUCGUCCGAGUGCCGUACACGCUCCGGUGGCGAGACCUGCUUAGGUGUGUAGACCGAGCGGUGAGUGGUCGCGUCGUUAAAGGCGCCCCCGGGGAGGGCCGCUCGUUGGCCCAGCAGCGGUACGGCAGGUUGUGGACGAGCACCCGGCCAACGGCGGUAAUCAUCCUGAAAAAAGGUACGGCAAGGUCCAGUCGUAAGGGGAAGGGGGGAAAGGUGGCCAUGGGGGCGGGGUUGCGGGGAAUUGAGAAGGGUCGUACUCAACAGACCGCUGCGAUGAAACCCCCCUUCCACACACUUCGGGACCCCCCUCAAAACCCUAAAACCCUAAGACCACCCCAACCACCACCAUUAAAUACAGUGUUGAGUGAGGGGCUAGGCCUACCCCCCACCCCCUCCCGCUUUCCCGCCUUAAAGAGGAUGGCGACCUCGGGCACAGGGGGGGGGAAGGGGUCGGAAAUGCGACAUCGUGGUGAUGGUGGCCGCAGUUGUGGGAUACCCGGGGACCGCAAAACACACACACAUACACACACCACGUCUGUCCCCAUCCCAUUAUCUGACGCACGCGUCGUAGCCCCCCGNNNNNNNNNNNNNNNNNNNNNNNNNNNNNNNNNNNNNNNNNNNNNNNNNNUGAGGAUCCCCCACAAAUUAGUUGUCGUUACCUAUUUUUUGCCCUGCAUACGCGCCCGCCCGCAGGCCCCCACCACGCUCUACUCUUCGGCACGCUACAUAGCCACUACUCUUCUCCCGGGCAUCCGGACCCCAUGGGACACAAACUUCCCUUCGACAAAUCGUUUUUCGCGUCACGGUUUAGGUAACUCAGUCCGACCGCGACCGCGAUCCCGCAAUCCGAGUGCCGUAUUUCUGCCGUACACAUACCUUGUAGGCGCUGACGCCGUCAAAGGGCCCCACGGCACGCGGUACGGACACGGAGCGCCCGGCGGCCGGCGUGGAGGGUUUUGCACCCGCCCAACCGGGGAAGGACUCCUUCAUGGUCGUAGAGUCCUGGAAAGGUCCGGCUGCGGGCUGGAGCUUGUUGGCCGGUCGUACACGGUUGUACGGCACAUCCUUGGCGGGGUAAUCGACCCUGCAUUGUGGCGUGCGGAACGAACAAACGAACGAAAGGAUGAGCGAUGGAGCAAGUGGGGGGAAGGCGGGGGCGGCCUUCGGGGGUUGCUUGGGGAGGAAGAGGGGGGAUCGGAGAGCUGUUCGACUUUUGCCGUGUAUUGUUUGCGUCAGGUGUGGGGUGCUGUGUAUUGCUGUCCGGUGCUGUCGUACGGCACCACGCGUCAGGCCCUAAUGAACUCCCAGGGUGCGUUCCGCGAAUUUCGCAAACCACGAGGUCCACGUACGGAAUUUGGCACAGAUGCACCCGUACAAACAUCCGUACAUCCGUACAUCCGUACGCACGUACUUGUAAGUGGUCCAGGGGCUAAACGGCAGGUUCUCCUUCUCGCCCGCGGGAGGUUUGAAGGAUUGAGCGGGGCCGGCUCCCGCUGGCGCCUGAGUGUGGGGAAUGGGGGACGAAUGCGGAGAAGUGUGUGUCUUUGUUUCUCUGUCUGUCCGUCUGUCUGCCUGUCUGUCUACCCUAUCUGUCUGUCUGUCUGUCUGUCUGUGUGAAUUGCAAGGAUGGGAAGGAGCUGGGAGAGGAUGAGGGCCUGGGAUUACGUGUGGAUGUGUCUGUACGAAAGUGAACUAAGAGUACGACUCGAAUAAUCACGGGGGAGAUUACGACAGUGAUGAAGACAAAGACGAGGAUGACGUGGAGCAGGGGGAGAAGGCAAUAUGGUGCGGCUCGGGGUGGUGAUGCGGAGGGAGUGGCCGCCUGGCUUAAACCCCGAUGGCUCUAGGCGGGUUUUGUGUGGUGACAGAAAAGGGAGCGAGUCAGUGCGUACCUGGAAAUUGGUGCCGUACGAUGUCGUCCCAUCAAAUGGGCCGUCCGGUCCUAAUUGGCUUCGGGGUAACAUGGACGCGGUGCGCUCGUGGGGGGCUUUCUUCUCCCAGUACUCCUGCAAAGGCAGCGAUCGAAGUUUCAUUAUAAAGAUACAUUUAAAGUUAUAGAUGGUGUUUUUGUGAUGAUAGAAAUGGUUAUUGCGAAUUUGAUGUUAUUGCAAGUAGUGAUAAGGAAAAACGGUUACGGGACUUGCCUUUUGAUACUCAGUAAGGAGUGCCCCGUCGGUCCACGGCUCCUUCCGUCGCCAUCCCUUUGGGCAUGGCUUCUGCAAGGAGUUGACAUCGGCCAUUGGGUAUGAUGUAAAGGCCUUGCUGGCAUCCCCAGUUGCAUCCAUGCCAGUGCACCGCGGCCCAUCGCCGAAAGAUGCUUAAGAGGGUAUUUCGCGUUGGGUUUAUCUGUUUUAAAAUGUAGGAACGCAGGUCUAAAUCAUGGCGACGACAAACCUUUUUCGGAUUGGCCGUCAUCGACUGAGCAAGCACCGUUUGUUGGUCCGUCAUUAACUGCUCCAUUAUGAACGUUAAUAGAUGUUGUUAAGGGAGCUUUUGGCUAUGGGCUGCGUUUAAGAAGAGCAGUCACUGUUAUCUACCUACCACCUCUGCAUCCAACGUUUGAGCUGAACAGGCCAGAUAAAGGAAGGCUUCGGUGCAUACAGGUAUCGUUUGAGAGUCAUCAGGGUCUGUUAUUGAUCUUUUGCAGCGCGUCUCUGCGCAAGUCUCCUCUGGUUCGAAGUACGGCGAAAUGUAACGAUACGACUGGUAAAACCGACCGCAAAGCCUAAUCGGCCGCACCCGUUGUGCAGCAUUCCGGUUGAAGCUACAAUCAAUCUACUGACAGCCAAAACUGGGUACAUAACUGAGUCGCAUCCUCCAGGGCAUUCGGUUAUCCACAGCCAUCGCGCUGCACUUGUCUAUCAAUUGCAACCGGAUAAAGAGAAGAAAACGUGAUAUACUUUGCUUGGAAUGUUACACAGCUUGAAACCAGACAUAUCCCAAUCCUUAGCAUCCUCCGUCGCCCUCUCAGCCACAGUUCCAGUAGCGAAGACAUAAUCAGAGGUAAUCCGCUGCCGGACAUCAUACGGAAGAUGGUAACUCAUGUACCAAAACGGCGACAACAGCCCCAGCUGGUUUGGAACUGCAGAAGUAAGUCGUCAUACAACAUAUCCUGAUGAUGUUCCCCCACAAGCGCACGAACAGCACUGAUCAGACCCCCUAACCAUUUCGCUACCAAUUGUCUCGAGCCAAGGACGCUUUUCAGCUCAGCAUUCCUCAGCAUUCCUCACCCCUCCCUGUCACCAAAAUAACCCCCUGGAUUUAGAACAUCUAGCGCUGUUUCCGCCUGGAUCCGACUUCGGGACACGCCGAAAACUGACCUGGCUGGCCAAGUGAUGGCCACUGUGAACAGGCAUGUGUUCCUGCCACCCCCUCACCCGGACCCCAUGCCCUCUCACAGCUCGGGAAGUGAAAAAGCUCAUGCGCCUUCAUGUUUCCAUCUUCAACGGCUCGCCCUCCUUCACUUUGAGCUGGGCUGCAACCUCAUCGAUAGACGCGUUCAGUUGGGCAAUCUUCUCAAUGAGGUCCUGCUUCGUUUGCUCCGGGUCCUUGGGCUGCUCAUCCUCCAGGAAACGUGGCAACUUUAGCCGUUGGUCAUCCCCAAGGAUAGCCUUAGAAAUCUGUGGGUAUCGGCACAAAGGUCCGGGUCGGAAAUUCCACGCAAGCAUGGCCCGUGAGCGUUAAGUCGUAAACUCACCUGCGGAGCAAAUAGGAACCCAAGUGCGCCAAACACUACACCGCCAACAACAACUCCAGCCAGAAAGCUGUCGCUGUUGCGCCCAUUGCCCUCGGCCCUGUAAGCGUUUUUGGAAAGGAAUGGGUCGGACGCCGGCGUUCAGUUCGCGGACUACGGCAAAUACUUAAAGGCACGCCCAGCUAAACACGUGCAAUUUUGCAUUAAAGGCCACCUCACCGAACGACGAUCGCCGACCGGGGCCGGACGGGCAACGCCGCCCGAACUCGGUGGACUUGCGCAGCCCGCUGGGGCAGAACAGCUGCAGCAGGAGAACAUCCGAGAAAGUAUAUUUAGAUUCUACUUAAAUGCGUUUCCAUGGCAGCGCCUAAUCCUUGGACACGUGCCCGACCACUAAUUUGCAAAUUCUCACCUUGUUGGCGAAGCAUUGUUACAAUCUGUGAUACAAAGACACCAGAAACAACAUAUCUGACAUGGUACGUUAAUCAACUUUCAAGCGACUGGUCUCGGAGCCGAUGCCACCUACAAAUUGUCAGAGCUAGGCUGUAUAGCAGGGUCUGACGGUUAUCACAACGGAAAGUUAAAAGUUGAUUAUCUUUUCUGUAUAGAACCAUCGUUCAAUUCGUCUUCUGUCGGUCUCGGAAACAUCUGAACCUUGGACAACAGCUAUCAGCUUUAGAGACCAAACUCCUGCUGCGCUGGGGCCAUGUUGGCAAUGCCGCAUAUUUCGCUGCCCCUGGUGGCCCUUUUGGCGGGGCUGUUUCUUACAGCUCCCCUUGCGUUUCUGCUGCUGCGCCCGCGCGGCCGCACGCUGGUCCUGUCAUCCUGGCCGCACCCCAUCUGGCUGUACAUCCAGGCGUUUGCGGCAGUCACCAAAAUGUCCAACAAGCGCAAGGAAGCGCCGGCCUGCGGCAAACCCGUCCAGGUGGGCCGCAAGAGCGUUUCGGUCGCGCUCCGCGGAUCCCAGCACGCAUCACGCUGCUGAGCAUCGUCUCAGCUGAAAAUAUUCAGCAGGAAUAAGUCCCUGCAGCGACCCAUUUGAGAUGGUCUCGCCCAGUGCUGUUUUGGACCAUAUUUGGCUACCCAGGAUUGUGCCCUCGACAGAGCUCAGAGCGAAAGUGGAAUAAGUCCAGGCUUUUCCCGUUCAGGAAGAUAUGCCAUCCCUUUCUAUUAGUUGGUUAAUUGACAGAAAUCCCGGAGUUUAGAUUAGCCUCCGAGAGCUAAGCAACAUCUGAAAAGCACAAGAAAAGUCUUUCGGACUUCCAUUUCUCGACCGGUAACGGCUCCGGCGCGUCAGGCCAACCGCACACCCCUGGAAUCUUCUUAACUCCUUAAUACCUUUCAGACGCCGCUGAUAACAUCGUGAGCUCUGCUUGCCCGUGCGCCGUCGUCCGCUCUGCCUUCCCCCCUCCUCGCCACACACACACACCUUCGCGCCCGUCCCCCUGCCCUCAUCCCUCACCUCCCACCCCGAGACAGUCAACACCGCGGUCACCCUAAAACCAAAUUCGAUAUCCCUAUCGUACCGAGUAACAACAGACCCUAAGAUCCAUAGCAUCAUGUACAUGCCGUACGACAGUUAGUACGGCAGUCAUUACUGGUUCCCUCGGAGCGCCCCGUUACCACGUAUUAGGAGUUGGCAAUGCCGUGCGCCAUCUCUCCUCAAUAUGCGAUGCAGUGCCUGCAGUGUCUGAAACGCUAACUAACUGCCCCCUCUGAUUUCCCCCGUUCGCCCCCCCUCCCUCCCCUCCCCUCCCCUGUUUGUUUGUUUGUUUCUUGCACGUACAUAUAUGACUUCCUUCCCUCCCCCUCCUCCACCUCCCCUUCCACCACCUCCUCCACCACCACCUCCUCAGGUGAUGUUGGAUCACGGGGUCCACUUCUCCCCGGGCAGGCUGAGGCGCUACCUGGCCCUCGCGGGUUUCAGUGGCGGCACGGCGGGGGAUGUGCCGCUCAUGUACCCCCUGGUGGAGGGUUUCCGGCUGGUGAGUCCGGCUGGGGCGGUGUCCGGAGACUGACUCUGAAAGGGACGGGGGGGAGGGGGGAAUGGAGGGGGAGCUCUGGUACGGGCACCAGAGCUGUCUGUCUGUCUGUCUGUUUAUUGUAUCUAUCUGCCUGUUAUUAUUUAUAUUUCUAUAAUAAAAUCCAGCUGCCGAGUGCAGCCACCCACAUCACCCCUUCCCCUAACCCCCAAACCCAAAGCCCAAACCCUCCCCAACCCCCCUGCUGGGUUUUCCCCGUCGCUCUUCUUCGCUGUCUGUCUGUCUGUCUGUCUGUUUAUUGUAUCUAUCUGCCUGUUAUUAGUUAUAUUUCUAUAAUAAAAUCCAGCUGCCGAGUGCAGCCACCCACAUCACCCCUUCCCCUAACCCCCAAACCCAAAGCCCAAACCCUCCCAAACCCCCCUGCUGGGUUUUCCCCGUCGCUCUUCUUCCCGCCGCAGUUCAUGCAAGCUCUGCUGCUCCCAGCCUUCCCCUUCAACGUGCUCGGCAGCGUGUUGGCGGGGACACGCGUGGUGGCUCUGAGGCGCAUCGGGGUGGACGAGAAGCUGCUGUACAGGUACGUUUGUACAGAUGCCGUACCCAUGUAACCGUGGGAUGGGCCGCCUCCAAAGAUGCCAGUGAUAGGCGACAGGGAGAGUUGCGGGGAAAGGGGGGGGAGAAAUGAACCCUAAAGUUGUAUUCAUCUGCAAUUACGAGUUUCACAGAGCUCAGGAUGAAUGUUGAGAAAUGUCGAAGGUGUCCAACACCGGGGGGGCGAGAGCUGUACGUGACUGUUUAGAUUCUCUGGGCAGAUGCUCAUGUAUUGCCUUCACCUUGAGGUCCACUUUAACCUCUUCUGCUUUACGCGGGGCGUUGUUUUUGUUUACGAGAGGAGAAGGUGUUUACCCCUGUGACCCGUGGGUCGGUUGGUCUAUUUCCGCCCUCUCCGCAGCUGCCGCGUGGAUCCGGCCUUCCGUACGACAGCGAAGGGGCACACCGAGGUGGAUGUGGUGGUUGAGGCUCACUCAGUGAGGGGCGACAAGAAGAGGAGUCCGCAGGCGGCGGGCACCGAGGGGGCGGAGGCUUCCGGCGCGGGUGUUGGUGGCGGCGCUGGUGGCGGCAGCGAGGCGCAGCUGGUUUGGCGAAGCGUCACCACCGUCAUCAUUUUGUCGCCAAGGCGCAAAGGCGCCAAACGGGAGCAGCAGCAGCAGCCGCCAGAGGCAGCAACGGCCACUUCGGCGUCUGGCAAGGUGCGGCCUAAGGGCUCCCCCGCCCUCCUCGCCGUCUGAGUACGGAAGUGCCAGCAGCUGGUCCGGCAGCAAUAUGUUUCUUUCGUCCCAUUUGUCUGUCCGUCUGUCUGUUUAUUUGCCCGCCCACUACCCAAAUGGUUGGAAAAAUUCUUACCGUUCGACGCUUCCGUGUUGUUAAGACCCCCAUGACCCUCUAAAACCCAUGUUGUAACGACAACAACAACAACAACAAAACAUAAACCCCUAAAACCCUAAAACCCUAACAAAACAACGACAAGAAACAGGAGCCUGCUGGCCCCGGGGAGGGGGCGGAGGGGGGAGAGGCGAAGGGGAGUCAGGCGGCCGAACUGUCCCCCAAGCCCACUGUUGUGGAUACCUGGAAGCUCGGACCCGACGCGGGCCGCCGCUACGGGCUGUUGAACGGGGACCUGAACCCCAUCCACCUCCACCCGGCGACCUCAGCGCUGUUCGGGUUCAAGCGCCCUAUUGCACACGCGCUGUUCCUGACGGGUCGAGCUGAGGCAUCGCUGCGCAAAGCCGGUAAGUGACCGAGUGGUGAGGGGGUGGUUAGCGCGCGUGGUGAGCGGGUGGAUGGAUGGACGGCUGCUUUUACCAGGAAACAGGUCCUCCUGGUGUCUUAAUGGCCAAUUGUGGGUGACUGGGUGGCGGUGAUUUUCAAGUGUUGUUGGAGAUGUUUUUGUUGGUGCGAUACGCUGUGGCGUGUGGCCGGGAGUGAGUAAAAAGCGCGCAACUCCCGUUUUGUCACUUGAAGCGCAUGUCCUUAGGAACCUUGCGCCCUUCCCAAACCUCAACCGAGUGCGCUGCCCCUGGGACAACCGCCUUGCGUAUUACUUACUCGGCGCACCAUCACCACCGCAACCACUGCCUCACAACAGGACUGGAGCUGCACUACCCGUGCGCACUCACCGCGGAGUUCAAGCGUCCCACGCUGCUGCCUGCCACACUGCAUUGCGCCUGGCUGGGCGGAGCCUCCGGUCUAACUGCCGCCGCCAGCGGCCUUGGCGCCGCGGAGCUCGACAGCCGCGAGGGCGUCCGCUUCGUAGCUCUGUCCUCCGACCUGUCCAAGGAGGUUCUCGUCGGCCGGGUGAGCUGCAACCCGCAGGCUGUGGAUGAGGCACUGGCAGUCGAGGAACGCGGUCGAGGACGGUGAAAAGAGGACAAGGGCAACGGGAAAAGGCUUUCCACGGACGUGUUUUGAGUUCGUGCGCGGCGAGAGAGGAAGGGGAGGAUCUGCGGCGGAAAGGGCUGCCCCUGCCGGUUUGAUUAAAGAAAUAUGGGACUCGGGUUGUUUUGUUCCACUCCUGCUGCUGCUGUUGUGUUAGCCAUGUUGCUGCGCUUCGUUGCUGCGCUCUCUUGUUCAGCUGGUAUGGGGGAUUUGUUUUGGCUUAAGGGAGGGUUUAAAUUCUUGUUGUUUGUUGGAUAGCUGUCCGACAGCAAUUCGCUGACAGGAAACUGGAGUUGUUGCAGGGUUUGUUAGCGCCUGUUGUGAGGCUGCGUGUGAGAGGAAAAGUUAUGGGAAAUGAUGAUGCGAGUUGAUGGACGGCCGCGCAUUGGGGGGGGAAUAUGCGACCUUGUUACCUCUCAACCGCUGGAGAUUUGGCGUGUUGUGGAUUUGUCCGCAGAUAGGAAGUAUUCCUUCCACCAAGGGGGCCGGCAGGGGGGCUGAGGAAGGGAGAGAUGGUAGGGCUUAUGUGUGACAGUCGUACCAAGUUGUCGUACUUUUUGGAUGUUUUCGCAUCACAUUAGACUCACAGCUGCGUCUCUCAGCUGUAUAUAUGUUUACGCCGUGACGAUGUUCCGUGGCCGAAGCGCGGUGCUGGCGGUCGAUAGGGGUAUAGCAGGCAGGCAGGCAUCCAGCAGGAGGGCAGGGAAAAGCAGGAGCAUUGUUUGUUGACUGUCUUUUGACUGUCUUUCAAAAGUCGUACUUCCACCAUUUGAAAACAAUUGAAGAUGUUGUCCGUUGCUGUGUUCAACGCACCGAUUUGGGUUUGCUGGACAGAGUUGAGUUUACCGGUAAGAUGUGCUUUUCUCUUCCGAGGUUGUUGCCCUUUUGAAGUUGUUGACACCCAAGAUGUAAAAGUGCCGAAUUACUGGCCCCGCUGCGGCUGCGUUAAGAGUCAACACCAAUGCGUGGCAUGCUGUAUGAGGUAGACUAAGAGGUAGCGCCUCCCUAGCCUGCAGCAACCGGCUGUGGAAGUAGCAUCCACUUGAGCUAGGUCGGCGACACUUAUUUACUGUUUCCAGGGUAACCCUGCCUAUAUAUGCUAAAUACGCGGAAGGACGUGUAUUGGGGCCCCUCGACGAAACGACCCAAAAGUACACCACCAACAACACUUGCUGCUUCCUAAGAGGUGAUCAUACCGUCCAACGUACAGUUACAUCUGCGAGACACGCUUGUUCAGUUCUUCGUCGCUCUGAAGCUAUAAGACAAUCAGGCAGUUGCCUAGUGUUUCCAGCGACUCAACAGGCGCAAGAGCAUGUUUUCUAGCCCUAUGAUAGUUAUUACCCCUUAUGAACUUCGAUAAGGGAUCCUCAGGAGCCGACCGACGACCGCCAUUCAUCUGCACAGCAACGACGGGUGUCUGCCCUUCCAAAACCAAAGGCACGGCGGCCCCAAAACAGCUGGAGCACUCGAGAUCAGGAACGACGAGUAGGUAGCGGACGGCCGUUGCCAACCUGAACAUGGGGGUCCCUUAAAAAACAGAAAAUCAAGGCACAAACAUCAUCGAUCUGCACCAUCUGCAACUACAACACGUACAGCAAUACAGAGUAUCGAAGAAAGGGCGAAGGAAAAGAGCCAGCUGCGGAAAAGAGAUAAUCGGCCACAGAUACGGUACAUUUUCCCUGCUGUAUAUUCAGGCAACUAAGAAAAAGCACACAUCGUAUCUGGGCCGACGCAGAAGUAAAUCUACAUACCUUUGUAAGCGAGGAAAAGGGUUAACAGACAAGAGCGAAGGAUACCGAAAUAUUCAGCCUAAAGGGUAUUCCUUUGGAUUAUGCACCUAAGGGGGCCGCCGUGGCAAACAAACCUGCGCAACAAGCGCACGUGCCUCCUCUUCCACAAAAACCAACAAACAGUCUCGAGAGUGUCUAUAUCUACCUACCCCGUCACUUCACCACGGUACCCUCACGCCGCAGGCGCCCCCUAUUGCAGCGGCCACCUCACUAGCAACCAUUACCACAUAACUACUACCUCAACCAUGGGUGUGCGCGUUACACGCCGCUGCUUGCAAACAGCGCAAAGGCACGGCACCACCCGAAAAAAGCCUUGGUGAAAGGUUCCAAGCUGAAAACACGCCGGACCCCCAGUGCAACGGGCGUGCAAUUGCAAGGAGCAUGACCGUAAUGACCAUGACCAGUUCACAGGGUGGAGGGUGCAGCCCGACAGCCCCGAGGCAGGGAACCAAACACCACGUCACGUGGUUGCUUCAAUAAGGCCCCGGACACGAGCACGGCGGCAAAGCAUGUGCAGCGGCCCCUCAAGCCCUCAAGUGCCUCCAGGACCCUCAGUGCGGCACGCUCUCUCGUGGCACACGUAGCAAGACAACUUCUUAAAUGAGACGCGCUACCACCCAUCGGAGUCCAAAAGCCCCAAAUAGCGUCCUGUCAGUUCCUGAACCACCCCCAUUCUCAUCCCUCAAACCCCAUCCACGCAUCCCCAUUUUCUAAAGAGGGAGAGAGAGAGAGAGAGAGAGAGCGCUCCGGCUGCCACCAUGCGCUACCGCCGCGCGCCGCAACGGCGAAGCAGCUGGGAUGCUCUGCCCCGUGGCUGCCUCCCCGUGUCCUCCCCGCAGCAGCACCACGCAGCUUUAAGCCAGUCACUGGCCAUUCCUCUUCCAAGCUUGUCAGCGCCCACCACCACCAUCACCACCACCACCACCACAUUAAAGCACAGUAUAGCCUCCCGAAGCCACAUUCCGCCGACAUGCUAUUCGGAGGUCAGGUCGCAGGGCUCGUCCCUGGAUUGCCCCGUCCCCGGAGGGCCGGCGUCGGUAGACUUGGGGUUUCUGCGAGCGUGCUCCGCCCUGCCGUAGUAGGCGUCCAUGGGCCCCGUCAGCGCGUCGAUGGCCAAGCUGCCGCGCUGGUUUUGAGGCUUGCCGCCGCCGCGGCUGGCGGCAGCGGCGCCACCACGGCUGAGUGUCACACCCUUCGUGGACGAUGACGGCUUGCUGCUGCCACCAGCCUGCCCGGCUUUCCGGCUCUUGCUGCGACCCGUCGCGCUUUCGCUGCGGCGCCUUCGCGACCCCUCCGUAGGCUGCCGUCCCGCAGCCUGCUUGCCUCGGCCGGGCCCCUUGUGCUUCAUCGCCGAGACACUGCCCACCCGCCCAGACCCUGUGCCUCUGCCGUCCACAAAGGCAUCGCUGCUGUCUUCCUCCGUCGCAUCGCCUGGUCGCCAUUCCUCCACGAUAUCCACGCUGUCCUCUUCCUCUGGACUACCCUCUAGCCCCGCGCUCUCGUUCUCCGUCCCACGACCGGCCGGCCUCCCUCCAUCGGCGACGCCCUGCCCUGAAGACCCUCCUUCCCCUUGAGCCUGCGCACGCAGGUGCGGCUGUCCGCCUCCAUCGCCGCCGCCGCUGACCUGCUCGUCUUUACACGGUUCCUCGCGGGCCGCUUGGUUCUCUUCCAUAUCAUCUCCGAUGGAAAUGGUGAGUCCGCUAGCUUCCCCACCGCUGCCCGGGCUAAAAAGCAGGCUGUCGGAUGGCAUGGCUUCGACUGCACGUCCCCUUCCUAUCGAGCCGCAGGUAGCUGCCGCUGCGGCCGCUACAUCAGCGAAUGGCCUGCCCGCCACCUCUCUCGCAGCUGCCUGCCAAGCCGCUUCUGCUGCUCCUACCUCCGCACGAAUCAGCCCCUGAGCUGCCCCGGCCCCCUGCGCUCCCUGACGGCCAGCUGCAGCCGGUGGGUCACCUCUCUCAAAAGCUCCUUUUUCCGUGAGGUCCAAACGCGACACGCACUGCAUGGCGCCGGCUGCCGGCCUACAGCUGCUGCUCGGCCCACCCGGCCCGACGGCCGAUGCGGUGGUCGGGCCCUGUCCCUGAGCUGCAGCGGCCGCAGCACCUGCAGUGGGCCCGGCUGUCGGACCCGUCGGAGCGCCCGGAGUCUGCACUGCGGAGUCCGGGCGCGGAAAUAACACGCGGCCUAUCGCGGCCGCUUCGCUCACUGCUAGCAUGGUACAUGCAUUCGCGACUUCCCGCCAGCGCAGUGAUCGGAAGGCGUCCUCGGCCACCAAUGGGCCCGUUGCAUGUAGAGCUCCUCGCGUUGAAGCCGCAGCCUGCGUCUGCGUCUGCGUCUGCAUUUGCGUCUGUUGGGCAGGUGAAGCUGUUCCGGUGCCGUCGCGCUCUGUAAGGAUGUCGCUGGGGGUCCCCGGAAUCCCGCCAGGUGACAAUGCCUCGCCGCCCAGCGAUUGAGACGCCCCUGCCGCGUCGUCCGCCGUCAGUGAGCCACCGUACUCCACCAGCCUGAAAGCCUGGUCCUGCUGCAGCUGCUGCUGCUCCUGGGACCCCUCACCGCAAUCCAGCACCAGUACAAGCUGUGGGCUAAGGGUAGGGCUUUCUUCCCCCAGUUGCUCAGGCUGCGGCUGCGGCUGCGGCUGCGAGCCCUUGGGGCUUGUGGUGGCCGCGGUUGCCGUUGCGUAGGAGGCUACGGAAGCCCUUUCGCCGCCGCCCUGCUGUUGUAGUUCAGUCUGAGACUGCCAUUUCGGUUGAUUGUGAGGGCACCCUUCUGCAUGAGGCUGCCCAGGCCCUGCCCCCGCAUCCCCGCGCUCAGGGGGGAGUUGCUGCUGGCUGUCCAGGCUGUCCAGCUCUGACCGCCGCCGCCGCUUUCGGUCGCCCCCGGUGGGGCUGGGACCUGCAGCAACGCAAGUGUGUGGAUCCCCCCUGCUUGGGCCGGCCUCCUGCGGCUGGCAAGUGCAGCUUGUGCCCGCAUACAGGGCAGCCGGUGCAGGCUGUGUCGCGGUGGGCAGAGGUCCUUUGGUCACCGCAACUGUCUCCAGCUCCGGUCCGGGCAGGUGCCAAGGCACGCCGCCUGGCAGGGGUUGGGUUCCACGACCUGUGGUGGAACCCACCAGCGGAUGAAGCUCAGAUAGCAUCGCUGGCCUAGGAAGCCGCGGCUUGAGAGGUGCUUGGGCUGGUGGUGAGAGGGUGAGCAGGCGGCUCUACAGCGCAGGUGGUGUGCCUUUGCGUGAUCAACCACGAUUUCGGAAUUAUUAUGUUUUUUUCCUCAAGGGCCCUUCCUUCAAGUCUUCCUUCAAGAGUUGCAAGAGGACAUCAAUCGCCACCUGAGAGCCUUUUGCUGAACUCAACCGGUAGGUCACCACCGCCAUCAUCAUCGCACCCGGCAGGAGAAUUCCUUCCUCAAGACCCUUCCCCUUUGACCUGAAAGCGUGGGAUCGUAACUACACCUAAGCCCCAAAGCCGGUGCUCACUCGCGAAACCUUCUUCGGAGCCAGUGAAAAACGUCUUGUGGGACCCAAGCAGCCUCACUGCACUUGCUUACCUAGUUCCGAGGUUCUCCACCUCUUUUUCACCUUGUCUGCCUCCUGCCUAAUUCUGUUCACACCUGUGUGCGUGCGUGUGUGCGUGUCGAGCGGGAGAGCGGAAUUGGCGGACAGAGGGAAGGGUAGGUGCUUUCUGUAAAACGCAGGCGCAAUGAAAGGAGCACAAACUGCAGGGAGCACCGAGGCAAGAGAACCAAAGAGAAGACAACAAGUAUGCAGUGCUGCGAAGCCCGUGCUUUCGAGAUGUUUCCAUCGAGCCAAAUACACACAUGUACUGGCCGCGUGCUCAAAAUACCCUUAUGCUUUUCAUCUGAUAUCCUUCUGCCAACGGAGCGCAGCGGAAACGUAAAACCAAGAAACGCGGGUGGUAUCACUGCGCCGCAUUGUCGUGUGCAAGGACAGCGCACGGACCACCACACACACACAGACCCGCGCGCCCCGUCCCAACUCACCCGCUUUCGCUGCCUGCGGCGGCCGAGGAGUAUCUGCCCAGCCCUGCAGGUGCUGCUCAGCGCCACCACCGAAUGACGCUGGCCUGUGGACGCUGACAGCAUGCCCAUCAGUUGUGCGGCCCUGCGACUCGUCCCCUGCCCAGCUCGGCGCCUCAGACGCCUGGUUACGAACACCACCGUUCAGGUCUUUAUGACGAUGCGAAGCUGCUGCAGGCAGAUCUGCAACGGCGGUGCGAGCCGUGCGGGUGUUUGGAUAGACCGGCUUAAGUAAGCCCAUUGGCAGCACACGCUGCUGCUGCCACUGCUGUUGCAGCUGCGGCGGCAAGAAAGGCGGCAAUGACUGCGGGUUCCAUCCACAAAGCUGCGUGUCGACGAAGCUCUCCCGCUGAUGCGAGACGGCGCUGCCGGAGGGCUGAGGAAGGGCUGAGGAAGCGGCGCCGUGCGACGUUGUCCCUACGUCACCGCCGUGGCUAAAUCCCUGGGACCCUGAGCCCACGCCCUCCUCCCCCAUCAGCGCCGGCAAUGCGUGAAUCAUCCGCGCCAGGCUGCCCACUGGGCCCGCCUGGUGUGUCUGAGGCACAUGCGGGUCACCAGUGUGGUGCUGGUGCUGACGCUGGUAAACGUGGUCGUGCGGCUGCUGCUGCGGCGGCGGCGGCGGCGGCGGCGGCUGCUGUUGGUGGGAUCCCUGGGCUCCAUGUGCCUGCGAGCCGUUGGCUGGACGGCUCAGGUCAGGGACCUGGGUGCCGUGGGCGGUGAGCCUCUUCGAGGACAGAGGAGGGGACUCCUGCGCGGACCACCGCAUGGAGGUUGAGGCAUGGGCUCCCCGAGUCGGUGGGUAGUCCAGGUUAGCGGACAAAUCAUCAGCGUAUGGGCCGUCCUCCACCUCCUCCACCUCCUCCUCCUCAUCAUCAUCAUCGUCCACAUCACGGCGAGAGAUGGCCUUGGCGUCCACGUGCUCGCGAGCACCGGAGACGUCAAGCGGUCGAGCGGCUGAUGCUGACGCAGCCACCACUUCCAAAGGCUGACGGGCUGUAUGAGCGUGAGUAUGAGUAUGAGUAGUAGCAGUGGCUGCAGCAGCGCCUUUUACAUCAGCAGACGCCGCAGCUCGCGUCGCAGUGGCGGCAGCUCCUGCACCGGUAAUUGCUGCUGCACCGGCAAUGGUAACCGCAGCAGCCGCAGCAGCAGCGUGCGCGGCUCUCGGCCGCGACAAGUGCUUCUGCGCGAAGCGUGACACCAUCAGAGCUGGCUUCCUGCACGCGGUGAAGGGAGUAGCGACGGCGGGGCCAGGUGCUAUGUGCUCCGCGAUCGGCUGAUGCGCCUGGGUCGCAAUGCCGGGUGUGGGUACAUCUCGGUUGGAAGCCACCACCUGCUCGCUCAAUUGGCCGUUACUCAUUGGCUGUUCCUGCUGCUGCUGGUGGGUUACUGGAAGCGUGCAGCGGCCCUGCGGGGUUCCCUGCAGUGCGCCAUCGACAGCAGCAUCAAUGGCUGCCUGUGAGUCGCCCACACCAACCACACUAACUUGCCAGUGUGCGGACGACUCCAUUGCAGGAGGAUACGCAGACAUUGCGGCAUCCUCCUCACCGCAGCGCCUUCGCUUUGCACGGUCCGGGUUGUUAUCACUGUCCGAGUCCUCUAUGCUGUACGCCUCAAGCUGAGGCUGCGGCUGAGGCUGCUGUGCAGCGCCGGUGUGGGGCCGGGGCGGCGGUGGCGACGGCGGCGGUGAUGGCGGCGGUGCCUACACGUAAAGAACAGGCCGUAGACGGCGCAGCGCAGGACUAAUUCGCGACGGAUUCGGACUUGAGCAAAGUGAGCAACAAGUUCGAGGCACUGAAAGCAAGAGCUUUGCUGCGUGAAAGAGAGAGCGCCGCGAAGCCAGAGGUGGAAAGUUACACGCGGCAACUGUCGCUUAACGCGCGGUCUGGUAUAUAUGCGACGGCACUGCUGCACUGCAUUGUAAACAAUUGAGGUCCCAAAACGUUCCCAGCGAGGGACCACGCGUCUCAACUGCGCUCUGUAAACAUGCAAAACAGCCCACAAAAGCUGUUGAAAUGGUCGCAAGGCGUCACGCACUGUACAUAUAUAUGUGUGUGCUGUGUGCUAUAUAUAUAUAUAUAUAGCUGUGCUGUGAAUAACCAUGCAGUGUGACAGCCGGUCAGGUAAGUGCUUCAUAAUCAGUUAGUUAGGUUAUAUAACCAUGCAACACGCCCAUGGCCGGGAUCGUGCCAGGGCCAGGCCGUUCCCAAGGACUUUUUCCUGAACACGAUGGCACCGUGCCAGCCAAAAACGUUCCACUCAAACGUAACGCAACAGCUCAACGCCCAAUAAGGCAACAUCAUCCUAAUUUGUUUCCCAACGAGGGGAACCACCGAGCCAACUCAGAAAAGCCAUGUACUGCUGGCGGUAGCCGCCAUGAACUACACUGUCGCGGAGCACUCCUAAAGACUCCCUACCCCCCGAAGAAUCGGUGCACCGCGCGUCAACGGGUAGACGCGCCCGUACAUGCGCCCGUACUUGCAAGGUGCGAGACAGAGGUUACCAGACUGAGAGAAAGUGUGUGUGUUGUAUGGGGGUUUCAGACCAUCCGCUAUUGCCAACAGACCUCCCUCCACCUAGCCGCGCGCACCUCUUCAGGGCGGAUGGGAACCAUUUUGGUGAUCGGCUCCGCACCAUCAUCCGGAAAACGUGUGUGCUUGCGGCAGGGCCCCCCCAGCGUCGCGCCUUGGCCUCGUGCCGGCGGCCCAGCAGCCCCAGCAGCGUCGGCGACUGGCCCGCAUCCAGCUCGCUGUGGCUUCUGCUGCGGAUCCGGGGGGUGGGGCUUCACGCGCCCUCCUGGUUCACGUCCUCGAUCCGCAACCGACUGCAGAGCGCCUCGCUCAUCUUCGCUGCCUGAGCUGCUCUCAUGACCACCACUACCACCACCACCGCCACCACCACCACCAGCGCUGAGGUUAAACCUGGCUUGAUGCUCUAGCAACCAUGCCGGAUCUUGGUUGAUGUCGUCCUCGCCAAUGUCCUCACUGUCCCCAAGGACCAAACCGUUGAUGGGCGGCUGCUCGACCUGGGCGUGGCUUGCCACCCCAGUAUCCUCGGUUUGUAGCCCGCGUCGGUAUCCGCCGGGUGGAGGAGCGGUUCCGCCAGGCGCCUCAGGACCCCUCUUAACCUUGCGGCAGAACUUCUUUGUCCUGGAUCCGCCGCUGGCCCCUCCUCCUUCAUCCGGAGCACCAGAGUCAGGGCACGGCAGCUCUCCUCGGACCCCCCCGGGUGGUGCUGCCGCCACCGGCUGCGCUGCGAUGGCCGCCGCCGCCGCACCGUGCUUGGGGAGCGCCUCCGGGUCCUCCUGUGAGGGCGGCACAUCCUGACCUGCUACCUUCUGGCCAUCUGCGCCAACAUCAUCUACGGACCCAGAAGGAGGCGCCCCGUGCAGGUCCCCCUGCUUGCAUCCUCGUCCCGUGCUCCAGCGGCUACGCGGUCGCCGAGGCGGCGAGUCCUUGUCCUCAUCACUCGAGCUCGCCCCCAGGUCCUCUACCUCCACCUCCACCUUUGCUGCAGCGCCACGGCCCGUUGUUGCUGGUACUGUGGAAGGAAUACACCAAGACAAGAUGGAAUGCAGGCGAGGGUAAAAAGCAUCUCAAGCCCUCUGAUCAGCUUAACUGAGGACCUGACUGACUUAGGACCUGGUGUGAUCAUGGAACUAUUGCCAAUGCAACAAACACAGACGGAAGUGCAUUCGGAGACCAGCCGAGCACCAGCAACCCCAACGGGCUGCAACCGGGCUCGUCAUCGACAUCGUUCCUUUCCGGCAACAGUAUGGACAUAUGGCGGGCGCAACAACUUGAGCUGCAGCCCCCGGAAGAUCUCGAAACAGUGAUCUCGAAAAGUGGCUGUAUACCACUUUGAAGCAGCGCUCGACGGGGAAUAUAACAUACCAAUAAUAUAAAUAUACUUCGUGCAUUCCCGCCCUCACCUUGUGCCAGUGUCUCAGGCACCGCCUCCGCCAGGAGCCUGGGCCGCUUGGCCGCGGGUUGGUCGUCAGACCUGCACAAGGGAGGACGAAAGGCAGUUGCCCGUCCUACCUGAGAAGAAAUCGGAAGCACUGGCGGCUCCACACCAUGACCCGUCCUUACCAUGACCCGACGUACCAAGGACCCACCCCGGACGAUUCUCGCAAUUUGCCCCAGCAGUAGGCAACUCAUUUACCACCUCUCCUACGCAGCUUUCGAUACUUACAGGACAGCCAAAGCAAGUACACCUUUUUGCAUUCAAACGACCCCUUAACACUCCUUGUGCCUUACCGAGCCUCGCCGCCGCUAGCGGGCCCAUGGCUGACGGCCACCAGCUCCACACCCUCGUCGUCCUCAUGCUCCUCGUCCUCAAUCUCCAUGGACUCCGCCUUCGCCCGUGCAAUCGGAGGCGCCUCGCCGGCCUGGGGGCCCGCCGCAGCAGCCGUGCUGCCGCCAGCCGGCGCCUGCUCUGUCGGGCCUGCCAUCACCGCCGCUGUCGCCCGGGGGACAUCCCCGACCUUGUCGGGGGUGGACAGGUCGACCACGGACUCCGGGUUGGUCGCGGGGCCGGGAGGCUGUGACGGGGGUGCGGGUGCAGCUUCGCUGGCGGCGGAGCCCUGCGCGCGGAGGACGCCGGAUAGGACGCCAAGUGAUCGCAUGGCCCCUGCAGUGGUUGCGGUUGCGCUGCCGAAAAGGCUGCCGGUGACCGCCCCAAUGCCGGUAAGUACCGCUGAAAGCACCCACGAUACGCCCUGUGCGCCAGCCACACGGAGGGCCGUCGGGACGGGCGACGCCGUGGCUCCCAGCAGCAGCUCCCCUUGCCAGGCUGCGUGGCUUAGCGUAAUAAUAAAAGGCUAGCCGGUUCCAGAAUGUAAGUCACACUGCUCCCCACCAGUGGCCUCCCAGUUCAGGCCGUUCUCACCCUACCUUGCGUCGGCGAUUGCCUGAGGUUGGAAGUGCGGCGGCGGGCGCAACGCCAGCCUGCUUCGCAGCCAGCCGCGUCAUGUGACGCGUCGGGUUCUGGAGAACGACAACGGGGUCCUCCAUAUGGCCCUACGUGCGAGAGGAGCGAGCGAGGAAUAGAAAAUGUGGGCAAGGCGUACAUACAUACAUACAUGCGGAACACAAGCCGUGACCUGCGUGCUUGCUUCUUGCCACUGGCGGAGGGCGGAGGGUCACAAUGCGCCUGCCAGUUCCCCUUGCAAAAACGGCAGCGAGCAUGUGCCCUCCCCGCCGCCGCUUUCUGAGAAUAGAACCAUGAAGGCCAUGAAGGGACAGGCCAAGACAAGACAAGACAAGACAAGCAAGCCACCAUGCAGGGUGGCUUGCCAACCCACGUUGACGCGCACGCACGCACCUCAUGGUCCGACUCGUUGGAGAGGACGCCAUCGUCCAGGAUAGGCCAUGGCUCAUUGGGCCGCAUCGUCACGUACUUUAGAUACUCCUCGGGCUGCAGGUACCGCUGGCCCAUCCUGCAAGCAGCGCAUGUUCAGUGGCGCAUGUUCAGUGGUUCAGAUGCAUGAGGAUGUUAAAGUAAGCGACAUGCAGAACACACACACACAUAUACACACACACGGCGAUGUCGCCCCGGUCAAAUCGUCGUGCGUGAACGUUGUGCGUGAACGUUGUGCGUGAACGUUGUGCAAUCCAUCGCCACGCGCAUACUUCAAUCCAGCCGUCACUCGCAGCAACCUCUCGCCAUCUACAUCAUUGCUCGACUUCCACAUCGCACAGUAGCUGGCAUCCCCCGCGGCAUUGCACAGUAGCUGGCUAUGCUAACCUCCCAUCGGCGUUAGCCCUUUGCAUACAUCGGCUACCAGAUCCAAGGUCAAUACUGCCGGAUAAGUUACACCAAUACGUCAUAAUGCUGGAAGAUAGAGGAUAAAAAUAAGAGGCUGCAAAAUAAUAAAAAGGUUGAACCUAAAGCAAGGUGAGAGCCACGCAUCCCAACUCAUCUCCUGCCAGGCUUCUUCUCAUCUCCGCACCGCCCUCCAGAGAGGUAAAUUGCUUUCACCUGGCACUGCACACAGCCAUGACGGUGGCGACGGCGCGCAGCCCACCACCCUAACCAGCACACUUACUCGUGGGGCUUCUCAGCGUAUGAGUUCACAACGCACUCGAGCGUCUUGAAGCGCUGAUCUUCCGCCGGUACGCACUCCAGCAUGAGCUUGCAGACGAGCGCCCGCAAGUGGUCGCGCAGCCGCGCGGCGUUGCAUUUGUGGAACCAGUUCUUCUGCAGCAGCGUGGCUGCGUUGGCCGCAUCCGACCGGGGGUCCAGGGCGUGCACGUCUGCAUCCGCAAGCAGGUUUGCAAGCGCCGCAGGCCUCUUGAGUAAUAAAGGGUAAAACCGCUUACAGACUCGCGGAAGGGACCGCGGCUGACACGUCUCAAGAGAGAGACUGAGGAAGCGCGCGGUUACCUGUGCGUACGAACACUUUUUGGUCGCAAUGAACAAGGAAAGUGGCGGUGUUGGCGCGGAGUAGCGGAGAAUAUGCAGACACAGGUGCUGGAAAGAAGCCAGUCACGACACUUGAUGCAAGGGGAACGGGUCUUAAAACCCAAGGGGUAACAGCACCGGUUUGGUAUUGCUAACGCCACACAUGUAGGCAUAUCGUCAGUCCUGAUUAUAUGGCCAUCACGUGAAACGAGUUUCCUAACAGGGGCCAGGGAGCUGGGAAACGCCGGCACCAGGUAAUUACCAAACCAGGGGAACCAUGCGCCGCCAGGGACUGCAGGCCGCCCUGCAACUGUGCGGUUGCGCCUAGAGUACUGCCGCCCUCUUUGCAGGGUAAUGGACAUAAAUAGGAUUUUUGAGGUGAGUUCAGGAGCUCAGGAUGACGACUACGGAAAUCGGAAUCCCUGCCGGCGCACUUCGAUGCACCUACUCUGAGCGUUGCUUCCCUCGCUGACGAUGCAUCGGGGGUUGGCGGCCACGAAGAAGUCGACGUAAGACAGCAGGAACAGGCCGCAAUCCGUAUGGUUGUCCUGCUUCGGCAGCCGGGCCGCCAUGCUGAGGCCCGGCAGCGUCUGCAGCGUGAAACGCACUUCCGGCACAUCCCGGCCAGCAGCCAGGAACCGUGCCUUCCACCGCCGCGGAACCGAAUCCUGCGUCUCGUCCUCCAUAUUCCUCCGCCACUCGUGCUCCAAAUAGCUGCGCAGCGCCUCGAAGAUAGCCUUCGGAGCGUGGUUGCCUGCGUAGUGCGCAUAAAGGGAUGACAGUGUUGAAUAAGUAAACGGGAUAAAGGGGACUCAGCUUUUUUUCAGGCUGAUACACGUGGCAUAACGGAAGCGGGAAGCGGUGUUGAUGAAGCACCUCUGUUAAAGGCCCGGCUCCCUGCUGACCGAUAUAUUGCUACAAUAGCUGUUAAGUGAGCCAUUCCACUCUCAAAAGCUGGGAAUUCUUUUUUAUCAUGAUCCAAAUGUGCAACACUUCAUCACAUGAAACGGUUUUAGAGUCCAAUCAGACCCGUCCCCAACACCGGCUUCAGCUGACCGUGGUGGCAAAUAUCGCCAGGCGCCCCAAACUACUUCAUUGUCACAUAGCACCACACGACCCCGCGUGUGUGCUUUUUGUGUGUGUGUGUGUGUGUUGUUCGCGCCAAGUGCCUUACCGUCCAGCGAGUCCAGGUGCAGCAGCAGCGGCGUGCCGGCGCCCCCCCCUUCAUCCCGGGAGCCCUCCGGACCCCCCUCAGGUGGCCGCAGGUGAUCCGCCUGCUGCACCACGUUGCCCGGGUGGCAGAUCAGCACCAACGACCAGUGCAGGGUGCCGUGGAUGGGCACGAAGAUGAAGUCCUUGGAGAACAGGUCCACGUGCUGGUGUUAAAAGUCAAUCGCCGGUGUGGAGUUGAGAGGGGCAACGGGAGCCAAGCAGGAUGAGCGGGACGCGAACACGGUGUUUAACUGCCGUUGUGCAGUAGUAGUAGUAGUUUCAUUAGGACGUUAGGGAGGGGAUGACGACUGACCCCUCUUCGGGUUCCCUUCAUCCUCUAAGGUUCUUCUUCGUCAUCCUCCAAAGGUCUGUGUCCCCUUCGAACGGGGGACCAGAAGUAAGAACGACAGGCACGGCACGCCACGCCACGGGUAUCUUCCAGCGGGAAUGUGGCUCGGCGCAUUAAUGAAUGGAGCACAGGGGCUUCACAAGGGCAUGGGAGUCGCGGGAAAGGGUUAUUCCUAUUCCCCUUCUCUGCACAUAUAGAAACACAUUCAGAGAGAUCCGCAUCAGCGUCAUGUCACACCAACCAGCUUUGCGGGCCUGCAGACGCCGAACCAUUUGAUUAACACGGAGCUGUGCUACAAACCCACCCGGUUGGCGCACUUGGUUGGGUACCUUUGCGUUAGUGGCCAGAUGCACUCCUUGGCACAACUGCAGCCCACGAGAGCUGUUGAGUGUGAACAGCUAGUACCCUAGACCCAACUACUUGGUAUCGUUACCUUGGUCCACUUUUUAACACGCUCGUGGUCCAGCUUCAAGCGCUCAGCCUUGGACAGCUUCACGCCCUUGGCCGGCUUCUCCUGUAACUUCUUGAGGAAGAACGAGUUAAAGAAGUGGUACCGCCGCCGAAUUUCGGUUUGCAGGUGAGCUUCAAUGUACCUGCAAGGCAUCAUGACGGUGCGCACGUGUGUAUGACAAGCAGAGUGAGAACGGGCACAGCUCCAUAAAACAACCCACUGUGGGACGGUAGCAGCACAGCAGCACAGCAGCACAACAGCACAUCAGUGUAUUGAUGCGCUGACCUGCAGGACCGAGGGCUCUGCUGUCAUCAUCCCGCCAUGACGCCAACAACAGCCCGCCACGGCCCACAUUUGCUACGGCGCUUGCCAGUGCCUGAUACCCUGAUAUUCCUGUUGUGUGGCUGCUCUGAGUCCGAUUAGGUACUACUCACUCGCUCGUUACCCAAACCCAACGGAUGACUGACUUUCCGUGAGCGGCCUAACGGCCCAACCACCCUGGACCCCAUGGAACGGCUACCGCACUCACUUCAAGUAAAAGUCAAUGCAGGUGUCGUUCAAGAACUCGCCACUGUCCAGCCGUGCCAAGUCCUCCGCGAACACCUGCACGCUGUGCUUGCCGCCUUCUUUCGGAAAGCAGCACUUGAGCCCGGCUACCUGGGCUGAUAGCUUGUCGAACUUGUUCUUCUGGCCGCGUCCGGACAGCCCCGUUGCUGCGGCUGUCGAUGCUGCUGCUGCUGCUGCUGCUGAGGACGGACCGGGGCCUGCCUCGCUACCGGUCUUGACGCGCUGGGCAGCAUCCGCGUUAGCACCACCGUCGUCAUCGCUGCUGUCCACCAGGUCAAUCUGCAUGGAAGAAAAGGAACGAGCAAAAGACGAGCGCAGCAAAGAUGUGUUUUGCAAAGUCAAUGCCAGGUGCAACGCGGUUCUUUGCACCUUGCGCCGCCUAAAAAAAUUGGAUCCAUGUGGACAAAUAUAAAGCUGGGCAAGCCACAUGCGGCAGAAUGACACCUUCGUUGCCCCAGGAACUUCAAACGCGACAUCAGCGCACCUUUCAAUGUUAACCUAUGGAUUGCAAACCCAGGGCAUAUGCCUUCAAGCCAGCUCGGGUUCAAGAAAGCACAGGGUUCAAACUUGUCAGCCAUAAAAUGCCGACCCAAUCCGGUGUUACCCGAUGGGAACACAACUCCCAUAAGAGGCUUUUAACGGACGGCCCUGCGCCAGUAACACUCCCACCUGCAUCUUGUCUUCAGGCUCGACUGGCGCCGAGCGCCGGCCGCGCGCCUUCGCAGCGCCUGCUGUCCGCCUCCCCAACUGCGAGGGCUCCUCGUCCGCAGCGUCUGAAACCGAACGCCUGAAGACAGGCUGCUGCUGUUGCUGCUGCUGCUGCUGUUGCUGCUGCUGCUGCUGCUGCUGCAGGAGUAGUAGCUGCUGGCCGCGUCUCGUCCUGCUGGCCGCCUGCUGCUCCUCCUGCGCUGCGGCUGCGGCUGCCGGCACAACCGCCGCACUGACAAUUGGCGCUCUCAAAUCAAGACCGCGACCACCGGUGUUGCCGCCAUCGCCGGACCCGUAGAAAGAGCUUUGUUGCAUAGGCCGCGGGUUGGCCAACCGGUUGAAAGACGGACCAGCAGUAGAUAACCCCCGCAGUGGCUGAUGUUUGAGCGUGGGCGCCUGCACCAGUACACACAUGGGUCGCAGUAUGGGGGGUAAGCCGCAGCCGCAGCCGCAGCCACAGCCACAGCCACAGCCAGGGUUACAUAGGCCCUGCGUUGGUGAGUAAUGCCUGCUCAAGGCACGAAGGGUCAGCACUUGCCGAAAGGCCCUACCUACUUGGCCUUGGUGCCUACAUAAUCGGAAGAUCGAACAGUCCGAGAGCCCCGACAUGGCGACAGCCGCCACGGCCAGUGAUAUUACCUCCCAGCGGGAUUCCUACCUGCAUAUGCAUAGAGGCCGCCUGGCCGGUCUGGGCAACCUGGCGGCAUUGCUGGCACGUCAGGUUGUCCUACAACGCAGAUGGGAGACGCACGCAGAGGUAAAUGGCAAAAUGGCCGACGAAACGCCGUAUGCUAUUCAUUACACGGCAACACGUGGCAUAGUCAUCACCAGGCUUACCCCGGGGCGCAUGGGGCCAAUUAAGGUAAUGGGCUUGUUGCAGAAACUGCAUUUCCUGCGUACACCGUGCACGUUGGUUUAGUAAGCUUUUUUUGCUUAGAAAGGCCGUCCCGAGUAGUCUCACGCAAGUCGUGUAAUUCUCACCGCGGCUGCUGUUGCCCAUGGCCGCGAGCCGCAGUCGCGGGCUGGCCUGGCCCUGCACCAUAUUUGUCCGGGCACGGAGAGUCAGCUGCUACUGCUGGCACCAUCACAACGUGUCUGUGAGGACAUUUGGUGCCAUGUGUGCGCAGCAGUAAUAACCUAAUGUGCAAGAGCGCAAUACUCAUGCUUUGAGUGCUGCAGCAGCAGCAGCAGCAGCAGCAGCAGCAGCACGAAGGCCGCACUGCUAGCCCACUUGAAGGGGGUUUACCUACCUGCAGCCACCUGCACUGCCGCCCGCGUGCUGACGUUUUGGAGUGAAGGCUGUUGGCUGGACCCUGAAAUAGACACCACAUGGUUGCAUUUCCGUAAGGCCGUGAAGGAUCUAACCGAAGAGACCCUACGGUAACCCAACAAGCAAACGUGCAAACAAGUCCGGCUUACUCAGAUGCCGCUGCAGGUGCCGUGCACCAAUGGUGUUUCCCUGGGGGUGGGAGGGAAAUGGGGACAGAUUCGUUAUGAUAAUUGAGUAUGGGGGGUUGAGAAAUCACGUCAUUCCACUUCACGCACGCACCCCCCCACCUGUACCGGGCGCGUGAGUUGCGGGACGUGAGCCUGGAUGUGCGGCUGCUGAGAUACAGGCACGGCAGCAGCGUCUGCCGUGUACCCAUGGCCUGUAUCCUGGGUCUCCUUGACCUGCACAGUUUGUUGGGACAGCUUGAGGUAGGGGCAUGAACCGCUGCCUCCCGCCGGCGAGGCCGGGUUUGCUCACCAGGGGCCCAUCCAGUUGCCGCCACCGUAGCUCUACCGCAAGAGGCCUGAGCUGGGCUUCUAGUCUACUUGGAUCACCAGUAAAUUUUUUAUAAGUCGAGGUCAAAGCGUUGAGUCUUUUCUCAAGUUCGGCUUGCGAAAACUCCGGAAAACACCGCUCGGUCGGCAAAUCAUCUCGAGCCGACUUAAGAAUCGCCUCUACGAAAGGUGGGUACUGUUGUUUCCUAAUAGUAUCCGUUGUGCUGCUCGGCUGGAGAGCCAUUUUCCAAAGCCGAAGCCGCAGAUAGGUCCGUCCGGUACCCUUUGCACAUGCUAUGAAAUGGUAAUAUGAACAGUAGUUCAGACUGCCCAAAGAUAAGGUCCAUGGACAGGCAGAGAGGGGGGCACCAAUGAUGCCCGAACGACUGAAUUGCCUGAAUGCAUAAGGGCACCUAGAAGUAUGAUUGGUUGCACGAUUCGGCUCAUCACCUGCGCCUCAGCUUGGUUCAAAAGUAAUCAGUGAAAGGCACAACACACUGCGGCAGCCAUCAUCCGUGAAAAAAGAAUUUAACAAACUAAUGGAAAUUGUGCUAUUAAGUCUUGCAUUCGAUGAGCGCUUUCUGCCAUGCGCCAUGCUUCGCGUGCUUCGCUUCCACAGCUCGUACGGCACCAUCAGAUGCGGACUUGCCUGUAUGUGCGCUGGAGCAGGGCAAGCAGGGUUUGCAUCACAACUGCCAACCUAUAUGACAGGCUUACCAUACAUAUUGAAAUCUGGCAUACCCAAAGCAAAUGAAGAUGUCUUGGAGCCUGGGGCGGUUCUGAACAGAUUCAUCGGUAUAUAACAGACAGUGUGCCCUCUAGUCACCAUAAUAUUCGCGCCUCACGGAAGUAACUUCAACCUGGCGUUCUCCUUUUUGUUUCCAUGAGACUGAGCACAUGGAGCUGCGUGACAGCCAAGCCAGACAUCGCACCAUAACAGGAUGUAAUGUGGCUUCCUUCGGAGAUUAAAUUAUCGUGCCAUAUGUGAAAGGGAUUGGACCGCUCUUUAACAGUUUGGAAGUUGAAGCUGACUCUAGUUGCCAUGACAAAUUUCUUCAAGUUCAACGUGGACUUACAUAGUUCACAAAAUUUUCAGCUUGAAUAGUCAUGCCAUGCUAUAACGUCAUUGAUUUGCAAAGAGGCGUAUCAUCAAAACACAGCACCGUCCUCUGUGCGAACAAACACAAAGCACCUAGUUGUGCGCCUCUCCCAUUCCCUGCACGAAAUCGGUACCAGGCUAACGUGGAGACAGGGAAAGGGAUCCAAGGAGUCAAGGCAAAACCUUCCCGGCACUGGAUACCGGCCUACGUGUGGCGCACGAUACCUAUUCCUUCCUAUCUAAGGAACCGGAUAUACACCCGAACCCUUCAAGCUCAAACCCCCACGCCAUACGUGCCCAAAACCCAAACCCAAGAGGCACACUGAACACAAUGCAGACAAAUCCGAGCCCGAACAGGACGCCAGUACUCUAUUAACUCUUCACUGAACUGGAACCUGAACCCGACAUAAAUAAAAAACACACGUAGACAUAUACGGCACAGGCACCAUCGGCAGGUGGCUGGCAGAGGUUAAGGCCUGACUUCUGCUCCCAGAGAAUCCGUGUUCAAAUCCGUCUGCCGACCCCUCGGAUGAGGAUCAUGACCGACCGUUACUGUAGUUCGCUUGUUGCACCUGAGGCAGACGGACGUUUUACAGUCAUAUGUCGGUGCUGUCAUAUGGAGGAGGUUCCUGCAUGGCUGUUGCUGUGGGUAGUGAUGGUGGGCGGCCAGGGAAAAGUGCUGUUGGUCGUUGUCAUUACACGGGGGGUGAGGGAGGAGGAGGCUGAUAUGGAAGACGACGGGGCGGAUGCAGCCGAGGGAGGCUGGGAGGUCGAGACAUACACAGUAUGUGACAGGCGGCUGCCAACCACUCACUGCUUUUUUGAAGCCCAAACACAUGUGGCAAAAUGAACACAGAGCCGAUUUGCCCAAGCGGUGCGAUCCACAUCCUCGGUGAUGGAGUUGAAGCGGGGGCCUUGCCGUGAUGGCUGUGCUGUGUUGACCGGCAGAGCCAUGAAACAGGGAGAGGGAGCAGCCGGUCGGGACCCGGUGGAGUCCUGGAUUGGAUUGCUUUCACAGCGCAGCAGCGGCAGCAGCCAGUUCAGAGAGUCGUCAUCAUCAUCAUCAUCGUCAUCGUCCUCUCUCAUGGCGCCCACCACCACCCUGCCCCCCUCUGAGGUCGAAAGUCCGCCAUCUCCGCAGUCUCCGCAGCCUCCCCACCAACCACCCUACAUUGCUCCCGACCUUUGUCCCAUCCAUAUCGACCGAGCUGUACCGGGCCCCCAUGGCAUCAAGAUGAUCGGCGUCCCUUACAGUUUGCACAUGCAGCGUAUGGCACACCACUUCUGCCGGCACUAUGCGGUGAUGGACUCACACAUGAAGGAGCACUGCCACACUAUACUCUGCUGCGUCCUCCAUGGCCCCGCCGCCGCUUGGCCCCUAACGUCAUAUCCUUUCAGAGGACGCAACAGCCGCUGCUGCCAGCCCUCCUCCCGUUCACCCUCCCCAGCUCCUCUGCCACUGCUAUUCCGACGACCGACCACCGCUAGCUCCGAAAUCACGACAAAUUACGCGACAAGCUCCAACAAAGAUCGUCAACCGCUCCAAAACACUGCACUAUGCAUCGUGCAAAUUACGAGCCCGAUUAUAAACUAGGAGCUCAUUAUUUGCAGUUUGCCUGAAGGAAAGUGUCACAACUGACAAAAAGGCAGACUGGCUAGCAAAGUCGGUCACCAAUUGAAAUCAGCAGUGAAUCACCUCGCACUCGCAACUCGCACACUGCGCGGCUAAGGGUCACUAAAAGAUAUCGUUGUCUUUCUCCUGCACCGUCAGCGCCCACAUCACCACCGUUACGUGGUUUACAUAAACUGGACAUCUGCGCUGGUAAACAUCUUUCCCUCGUUACAAGCCCAACCAAACCCCGCACGCGCAUCCCGAAGAUAAAAAGCUCUCUCACCCCUUGCCACCUAACCCUCACCUCCCUAGCAGCUCCAGCUCUCUAUUCGCAGCGUCACGCGCAAAGCCGGCUCUCUCCAGCUCCACCUACCCACACCCAACAGGUGACUCCUUCCCUAUAUUGACAUAUGGUCGUUUUCCGUCGGCCUCAUCUGGUCAGGCGCCCUAUCCGUUUGGGCAAGCGCAGCAGCAGCAGCAGCAACAGCAGCAGUAGCAGCAGCAACAGCAGCAGUAGCAGCAGCAACAGCAGCAGCAGCAGCAGUAGCAGCUCCUUCCGAAGACGCUCAGGAAACCGCGAGCUUUCAAGUCACGGCGCGGAUGCUGAUGUUGAUGCGGGCGCUGCGGAUGUAGCCCUGGAUGAAGUCCACGCCGUCAAAGGUUCCCCCCUGUCCAUCCCAGCAGCCUUCCUGCGCGCGGAAGCCGCCACUGCCGUUGCAACAGCCGCCGCCGUCACCAUCAUCACCGCCACAGCCACCGACAUUUACGCGGGGGUAAUUUGCCUCCAGGAUGCGCGGCACACCUGCACAUGUGUGCAUGUGUAGAAGGAGGUGUAGAAGGAGGGAGGGAGGGAGGGUUUUGCGCAAGCGCGAACAUUUACAUUGAACAAACACACAGACACACACAGACGCACACAGACACACACAUACCAGAUUGAACACAUCUCACCAUGAGUCUCGACGUAAGUGCUCUCGCGGUACACAGCGGUACACAGCUGUCCAACUUCCUCUAAAAAGGAAUGCAAUUAUCCAAAGGCGUAGCCGUCACCCGGACGCUACGUCGCAGAUGGGCACCGUUUGCAGCAGCUCUGUAUACAAACGACCUGAUAACCCCCGUGCGGAGUCCAAUCUCGCCCUCUCGCUAGUUCAUCUUCCCUUCUCCCCCUCCCGAACCCCCCUCUCAUCCAUCCGCCUCAACUCAAUACAAACAUACAGACAACAAUACAUGGCAGGCGAGUGGCAGAGGUUAAGGCCUGGCUUCUGCUCCCGGCGCGUCCGGGUUCAAAUCCGCCUGCCGACCUCUCGGGGUGUUUGAGAGGUGAUGAAAUCGGAGGUGGCCCCCCAUCUUGUGGACGGUGUAGGACGUGAUAAAAUCAACUUGCGAGCUGACCAGGAACUAAGUUGACGCGCCGUUGAUCCGCUAGAUUUGGUUGGAUGCCGGUGGUGAGUUGCCAAACUUAAAGAGUACAUUCUGAAGUCGGAUGGGGUGAAUGGAUUAGGGUGCCCCUCUAGCAGGGGAGAGCAGGGAACUGCUUCCAAGGGAAGGACGCCACUGGUGAAGCUUAACCACCCUGUAACAACAUCAACAAUACAAACCACACAAAAGAACACACGCACACGCACGUUGCACAUCUCCCCUCUCUUCCUCUCCGCCUACGUUCCCUUCCCCCAUAAAAACCCCUGACCCCCGCGCGUACAUCCACUGUGACAGUACGACACGAUAAUUGACCCCCUCCGAAGCUCCGACCAAACGCCGCACCGUGAUAGCAUGUCCGUGCGUCCCCCGCCAGCACCAGCACAUCCCCGCCUCGCAGCAGCAGGGCGGAUGGGGCCACGUGCUUGGUGCGGCCCCCCAUGAGAAAGAUGGCGGGGCAGCCGAGACUCACACUGACGAUUGGCUGUGCCAUGUCGCGUUCCACAUCGUCCAGGUGACCCCCUAACACGUCACCUUGAAGGGGGGAAGGAGAGAAAGGGGGGAGGAGGGGAGGAGGAAUUAGUAAUCCGAAAAAUGCAAAACAAUCAAUUCCACAGGUGAUGGUGAUGGUAAUGGCGAUGAUGGUGGUGGUAGUGGUGGUGAUGGCGGUGGUGAUGGUGAUGAUGAUGGCAGCAAUGCUAAUAAUUGUCAAGGGAGGUUUUCGUCAAGUUGUGGAGUCACGAGGAGGGUUACACAAGCAAAUGCAAAAACACACACAAGAGGUUUGCAAACAAAUACCCAAGACACGGUUUUACCGCACCUUGCUGAUAGUAGUUGACGAUGGCAGCGUCAGGUCUGUAGCCUCCACAGGCCGCUGUGCGCCACAGAUGAAAACACACACACAAACAUACAGACAUACACGGUAUCGACGAGUCCCAGAUCCAACGCAGACCCAUGGGUCAGUUUACAGCGGGGUGAGCAAGUGGGCCAAGACGGGAGACCCCGGGAGUGGGGGAAGGAUUUGGCGGAUGGGUGAAGGAAUAAGGGGUGGGAGGGAAAACACAUGAUGAUUGGUGAGAACAAAAGUAGUUAUCGAAGCGUCCGAGGGGAAAAAGGGGAGGACGAGUAAAGCUGAAAGGGGAGGGGGAACGGAAGGGGAGGGGGAACGUCGUGUGGGAGAGGGCAACGUGCAGCGGGGUCACCAAGAAGGGGCCAACCAACAGCUGGUCGCACCCCACCCCACCCCACCAGGACGGUAGGGUAGGGUAGGGUAGGGCGGCGUACGGGAAGGAGCUUCUAGAUGCGGACUGCACGUGCUGUGGCUCCUGCUGCUCCUAGCUCGGGAACAAGGAGACUGAUGAGGACCGCAGCGGAUCUGUCUGUCUGUCUGUCUAUGUGUCUGCAACCUGUGCGUCUGUCUGUCUGUCUGUCAAGUGGUCAGGCAGCAGCCUGAAUACACCAAUCAGUUCAUGAACCAGCGGACCACGCAGCUAUUUGCGGUAACGGUCUAACCGACUAACGGCCCAACCGACUAACAAACUAAUUAACGUAUAUGGCAAACCCAGAUUCGUGUAUGUCGCUUAUUCCUCCCAAUUGAAGGCCCCUCGGCUCAAAACCCAAACAACCGCAGCCACCCAAUCCACCGUUAUGCCGGACUGCAGUCCUCCACAGUCACAAACACACCACAUUUAACGUCUGAAACACUGUCGACCCGCUUUACUAAACUAUACCCUCCACCUCCCCACACACACACACACACAUACACAACUUCAACUCUAAUAAACUAUAACAUUUUUAUAUACUAUAUUUUCGUCUUUCUUGGAGCUUUACUUACCCCGCACGGAAGCUGUGCCUCCUGUGUUUUUUUCCUCAAUUACCCAUUCCCGCAUCGUACGCCAUUGCCGUACACCGGCAUCCGUACCCCUUUUAAACCGGGUUGCCUUACUCAUCAUCAUGAUCCCAAGACACACAAGAACCCCACAGCUCUCCCCAGACCCUCAAAACCUGGCGCACACGCGCACACACGCACACGCGCACCGACUCGACCCCGACCCACCUCACCUGCGGCCGGCAACACCCUCAGCCCAGCGCCCUCAAGUCCGUCCACGACCGCUGCCAACUGUUUGGCUAGAGCCUCCAGGGAGGGCGGCAGCCUCCUGCGGCCCAGCGAAGGCAGGCACACGACAGGACGAAACCAUGAUGCCGGAGAUCUCCAUACGACUGUACCCUCCCCCUCAUACCCACACGCGCUCCAAGUGCUCAGCCACAAAAGGCGCAAGGGGGCGACGAAACGCACAGGAAAAACACACACGCACAAGCAUACGCACAUCGGACUAAAACUCGCCGCAUGCCGCCGUUACACUCGCCCAAUCCCGUACUGGUUGCCACGAGCCGCCCGUACAUUACCUGUACACGCUUUCAAAGUCGUACUGCCGUUGCGUCCAGUCGAAUUGCGGCCCCAGCGUUGCCCAACGCAGCUUAUGUAGCAGCGUCGAGGCGGGUGGUCCUGGGCCAGCCGGACUCCAACAUUCCUCAUAUGACGGCGACGCCGAUGCCUCCGCCCCCCUCGCGUCGCAACAGUCGCGUCCGCCGCCACUGCUGCUCCUGUGGCUGCGUCCGCCGCCGCCGUCGCUUGAGCCUCGACGACUGCUAUCACUGCUGCUACAGCCGAAACCGCCCUCGUCGUCAUCGUCCACAAUGUGGGAACUGCUACAGCUCUGUUCGCAGCAGCUUCCUUCCGGCACGGUGGCAGAUGAUGCUGGUAAUGGUGGCGCUGCUACUGCGCCUAGCCCGCCGUCGGUGCAUUCCUUCACCUCCCCCCCUGUUGCUACUGCUACUGCUGCUGCUGCGCAUCCACCAGAAUCCUUUCGUUGGCUUUGCAGAGGGCCCCCCGCUGUGGCUGCGAGAAGAAAUUGAACGACGUUUUACGAUGAUGUAAAAAGUCCGGGGGUGGGGAAAGAGAGAGGAGGCAAAGUGGAAAAGGGGGAAGCGGGAGGAUGGGGCAAUUUGAAGCCGGAACCAUGUUGACUAAAGGUCAGGCUGUUCCCCCAUCCCUCACCCCCACCAUUACCAUUAUAAUCCAUUAUCAUCAUCAUCCAUUAUCAUCAUCAUCCAUUAUCAUCAUCAUCAUCAUCAUCACCACCACCACCACCACCAUUAAUCAUUACCACCAAAGCCAGGUCCGAGCUGCGAGGUGGUUCAUGUGGUCGAGAUCGCAACCUGCCUGCUGCUGUCAGACUGGCCGAUGGCGCCAUGUCCGGCCCCAGAAAGCACCCGCAUCACAGGCAACACCCAUCGCUCCCAGACCUUCCCCCAAACUCCGCCCAAAACACUACCGCUGAUUUUCUUCGCCAUUACACCUUCCUCACCACCAUGUGGGUCAUCCUUGCGGCCCCAGUUGAGUCUUAGGCCCUGGCGCGCAGCCCGCCAUAGACCCGUCAGCGGGCCGUACUGCAGGUCAUGGUUGGUGUGUGCGGGGGGCUCCGGAUAGUCCAUGAGGGCUGCUGCGAUGAGUUCGAACUGCUGGGGCGCUGGUAGGGCUCCGGGCAUGUAGACCAGACCUAUCUCUCAGGUGGAAAGGAGAGGGGAGCUGUAGUCAGGCCAAAGAAGGAUGGAUGGAAGGAAGAAGGUUAUAUUCUGAGGGGAUGUUUGAGAUGGUUAUAUCUGGGUUGUUUGGGAUGUUUGGCAUAGCUUUCCUCUUCGUUCGCGGGUCGGAGGACGGACCUGGGUGGCGCUCAAAGGUGUAGACUGGGCCAUCGUAAUUAGGCACGUGGUGGCGGAAGACUUCUGGGGGAAGAGGAGCUUUUGGACCUAAGUGAAGGUCCAGAACAUCACUCGUGUCGAUUGGACGUAUCACGAGCUUGCCCGGCUUCGGCUUCCCAUGCCUGCGCGUGGUCGUCGGUGUUAUGACGAGGCCUGUGGCGUGGCAGGGGACCGCCCUACGCAUAUUCUGACUCACUUCAUCUUGACUUUCCUUUCCCUAAAGAGCUGAUACUUCUUCUCAGCUUCCCUGUAAGCUGUUCGCAAUAGAGCACCGUCGUCCUCGCCGUCAGCUCCACCGUAUUGCAUUUUUGCAAAGAAAUUUGAUGUUUCACAGGUUAUAAGAAUGCCUGCCGGUCACUGUCACCGCGUUUUAGUCGCGAAGCUCGUUCGUGUUAUCACGUUAUAUAGCCAUGAGUUUAUGGGUAAUAGCUAUAUGCGUAAAAUUACGGCGUCAUCUGAUGACCUGGCCCCAAAAGAACCAUACGAAAAUGGAUAGAGAAACAGGUAGGUGUUGGCGGGAAUGAGGAUGCGUGAAAAAACAGCAUACGGCCCAUCCGACAGGGUAGAGCACCGCAAUCCAGGUAUGAGUAAUCGGUAUUCGGUGAUGGGGGGCAGGAGAGGAGGCUUAUGUGGUGGUGUACGAAUAAGCCAUGCAGUAAUGUGACAGGGGCCGUCGAAAAGCCUUCGCCCUGAUGUGCAAAUUCGAGCAGAACCGCAUCUGGAUGCCACAGAUCUUAUGCUACGGAGUUUUUAUGUCCAGGUUAGUCAUCUGCUGUCGUAGUGGGCGGAGAUUCGGGGCCCGAAUGCCAACAGGCAGGGAGGUCUUAAGGACCAGCUGCUGUUGACAAACGGGUCAGGCAACGCUGCUGGAACCACAGGGGAGGUACGUAGUGGGCCAACAUGAGACAUUGCUGCGUUGUUGAGCAGAGAGGGGGAAAGUGGGUUCGUAGCACAAAGCGGACAGCAGGCAUAUUCGAAAGCGCCAUGGCAGACCCAAUUGAAAGGUUCCUGUUCAUGUUGCCUAAUAUGCGGAGGGGGCUGAGGCGAGUGUCCCGUGGUGCAUGUGCACACUUUUCUCUGGUCGCAGCUUUACGGAUACAUUAGCGGGAUGUAGGGGGACACGUGUGUUUUAUGGCCUGUACGGCAGGUACAACAACUGUAACAUCUCUUGUUGAACUAAUGUGAGCUGCAAAGUGGAAAGGCCGGCUAUACGAGUGUGGCGAUGUUGGGGGGCACGACGCGCAGUGUGGCUAUCGUUACAUAUCUUCGGUCAUAGGCUGGGGAUUGGAACGCCUGCUAAUUCUUUUCCCUUCACCCCCCGGCGGUCGGAACUUGGCCCAAUAGUGGCUGACUGAUGCGACUCCGCCGGUCGAAAAGGUGGAGAAACUUGAAAGGAUGGCUCGGCAGCCUUCCUAGCUACGCGCUGUUUUCUCUUGGCCAAGUAGGCGGUACGUCUGUUUGCUCUCGCAGAUGCGAGAUUUCAGGGAAAAUUUAGGCACAGAAAUUUAGCUGAAAGGACCCAUAGUUGCGGAAAAAAAAAACAUGGAAGCUUCCUGAAUUUCCUGGAAGUCUUUUCUAGGUUCCCUCGACUCAACUUCUGCUCGUUUCGUCACUUUUGCUCCCCCUGCUCGGCCUGCCUUGUUUCGUAAAGUGCACUUCGCAUACAGCUUGGCAGGCUCUGUCCCCCGGUUUGUUCAUGAGAGUAAGAGUACGCCACACAGCAAGGAAGCGAUGAGUCCUCUUACACCGAAAUGCACGGCAGGAUCACGCAGCGACUGAGACCGCGCGUCACAAUGGCGAAGGCCACCUGCUCCCACGUCACUCCCACGUAACGGCUACAACAGCAUAUUCCGUUGGCACUAGGUCGCAGGCCCACGCCCGGGGUGAAGUCCAUUCCCCCUUACCUGGCUGACUGGCUCUGACAAAUCAGCCGCACUAACGAACAACCGAGCUUUGUUCCUCUCCCCCUGCUCUCUGCAUUGGCAGGAGUAUAUCCUCCUACGUGACAUUAAUGAUCAAUAUGGGGCACGAUAACCCGCAUGCAUACGUACAUACAUACAUACAAAUACAUACAUACGCAUGCUCCGACAGAUGAUGGACGGUGCCAUCUCGUCGCCUGCCAGCUCUCCCCCUGCCCUAUAUCUUGUCCUGUGACACUCGUUUCGACUUUAUGUAGGUCACUUGCGGGUUGGUGUAAUAAUAAAUGCCUUCUAUUUGUUCACUCCGGAUAGGCGCUCUUCUGUUCAUGCAGCCACCGCAACGUGGCCGUCCGCUAGUGAAUGGUAAUACUCCUAGCACUUAGCCUGCCUGGCGUACAGCCGUAACGACGGCCAAGCACAGCUGCGGCCAUUUGACUCCCCCCACCAACUCCCCCAGCUCGCAGCCUCCUGCCCAUGCGACAGCCUCCGAUGGGGAUCCACCCGCAACCCCGCCAACCAGCCAGCCAGGCACUCCCUUUACCUGCCCUGCCCUGUAAGGCCUCCUGCCCCGCGCCUACAAACAACCUCUCCCGGCCGUAAGGUGUUCCCAAUUUCGUCUUUGAUUUCCCACCCAGCCUCCUCCCCAGCCGCGACCUGGCAGCCGUUAACCAGGAACCCGUGAGGUUGGAUGAUAAUCGACCAAUCGAGUCACAGGAAUGUCUGUCUGGCUGUCUGUCUAUCUAUCUAUCUAUCUAUCCAAUAAUCUGGCAAAGAGGGGUGUGCUGUUAGCGGCACGACCACAGCCGCAGCAGCCGCGGCUGCUGCAGCCUCGAGUGGUCUGGAAACGGCUUUGUAAUUCGUCCCGCCGUCCAGCAGGGCUAAAGACAUGGCCGCACCCACACUACUCCUUACCCCUCAGCACUGCCAGCCCGGAACAGCCUAAAGCUAAACCAGCCCCAACUACUUAAAACAACGCGCGUACAACGAACUACUCUUGGGGACCAAAAUACUUGUUCGUCCACGUGCCGUACAGGCCGUGCGGUAGCGGGCUCGGCAGUGCCAGCCGCGCUACGGGCCCCGCCAUCAUCGCCCACGUGUCAAACACCAGCAGCUCGCUGCGCCGGGUGUUGGAGUCGAACCCGUAGACCAGCAGCCUGCAAGCACGCGCGGCAACCAAAGAUACCGGCAAUAAUAGGUUGAAAAUCAGAGCCAGCCCUACCAGUACAAAGAACGUGGAAAGUUCGGCGCCAAGCCCGUCACAACAUCCUGAGGUCAUUCAAAAUUUUGGUUGCACGGAUUCAAAUCCAGCUGCGGCAAGAUGAAGAGAUUACCGGCUCGCGCGCGCCCGGGAGCAUUUUGGCGGUGCAGCGGCGUCGGCGUCGGCAGCAGCCGCCACCACAGCGCCUACGGUGCUUAUGUGUGUCAACCCAUGCGGGUUCUCCGUCGUGUCGGUCCCAGGAUCCCUCCGCCAGCCUGCCUGCUUCCUCUUCCUCUUCCUCCCACGCACACAGCAACCCUCCCGCUUUUCCCAGCCCAGCUCGACCAGCGAGAACACCUCCUCACCCUCCAUGCUAUCCAACCUCCCAUAACACAUACGCACAAAUGGUCGGCACAUACCUACAUACCUACAGCUCAGCUCAUUACAUAUGCAUACAUACAUACAUACAUACAUGCAUACAUGCAUACAUACAUACAUACACGCACACCGGCCCAAGUUACCCGGUACUCCCUCCUAGUCUGCAAAGAGCCAAGCGCACACACACGACGUGUCGCAUCUCCACACCACACCACACCACACCACACCACACCACACCACACCACACCACACCACACCACACCACACCACACCACACGAGACCCACAUCUGUCAAGGAAUACCCACCGAAAGUGGAUUGGGGCCACAUCCGCAUUACGCCCCCCCACCCUUCCCCCCCUUCCCCACCAACACCCGGGGACCCAUCCCUCACCAGCCAUCAUCCUCGCUGCGUUGUCGGCCGCCCGCUCCCGCUCCCGCUGGCGCUGCUGCUGCUGCUGUUGGCGCUGCUGCUACUGAGGCCCCCAGGCCGCCACCGCCACCGCCACCAGCCGCAGCGCCGUCCCGCGGCACGAAGCAGGGCUCCAGGCAGAUGUACCCCGGGCCCCCCGACCAGCGCUGCAGCUGCGGAGUCUCCAAAUCCGCCUUCACCAAACCCGAGGUGCCGUCCUCGAAUACCACACUGGAUCGGGCGGGGUGGGGUGAGGUGAGGUGGGGUGAGCACCGGGAGGUGUAAGGGGUAAUGAGGAAAGGGGUCUAGUGGUGCAGCGGUCGCUGGGGGGACGGUGAGGUAGGUGGUCCUGGUGUUGGGUCUGUAGGUAUGUCAUGCGCUCUGUCAUGGGAUGUCGUUCCCAGCUGGGUGACGGGUUGCAUGACUGCACACAGCGGACACGGAGGAAUGCACGGUGCGCUGUGCCGUACCGUACGGUGUCCUUAUCAGUCCAUCCACCUCCUCCCCCCCCCACACACACACCUCCCUAGUCGCACCGUACCUGCACCCGUACACGUAGCGGUAUCUCCUGCCUGUGUAGGCGGUGUUGAAGGUGGGCAGUUCCAAAUGACGGCCCGGGCCCGCAGUGGGGUCCAGGGGGUCCAGGGGGUCGCCGGGGACGGCACGACGGGUGAUGGUGCCGGAGGGCAGGUCAAUCACCAGCCUCUGAAGCCUGGGGCGGGCCCACCGCGGGGGGGGGGGGCGGAAAGGAAAAGUGUGAUUUGGGGGGGAGGGAGGGAAGACGGACUUAGGGGUUCGUAGCGGGGAGAGAAUGAGGGAGUGAAGUGCUGUAAGUAAUCGUGGUGGUGGUGGUGGUGGUGGUGGUGGGGUGUCAAAGGCAGUGGUGAAGGAACACCCGACACGAAAUGCACAUACAUAUACACACAUACAUACACACAUACAUACACGAGCUCGCACAUCCCCUCCCCGACACUGACCUGGGCCGGCACCCCGAGUCAGGAUCCGGCGACCUGACCGCCUGCUCCGCCAGCGGCUGUGCACCCACCGCAGGCAGGCUGUCGUACGCCACGCUGUCAAGAACCAGCCGACCAGGGUACGACUCGUCCUCGAAGGCGUUCACGUGGUGCAGUACACACACAGCGGGGCGCAGGUGCAGCUGCACGGGUCGCUCGCCGCGCCUGGGGGGAUUGUGUGUGUGUGAUGGGGGGGAGGGGGGGAGGGGGGGAGGGGGGGGCUAUAUGUCGGCGCAACCCCGUCGCGAAGUGGUGGUUUGCACUCGUGUAUGUUUGAAUGCAUGAACACCUUGACGGGAUGUGGGUGGCCGGUGUGCGCGCGCGCGCGUGUGUGUGCCAGGGUUACGCGUGCACGUGUGUGUGUGUGUGUGUGAAUCCUUAAAAGGUAACAUUAACAUGCAAAUGCGCGCUAUCCUGGGCGGGAAUAUCGCCCGCCUGCGUGACAGUCAGCACUCAGGAGGAGUCAUACACACCAGUCAGGCACUUCAGGCGUGUGCAUGCGCGUGUGCGUGUGCAUGCGCGUGUAUGUGUUUGAAAUGAACUGAGCCGCGACCCUAAGUAGGCAGGUGCCGGCAGGUGCAUGCGUGUGUUAAUUUGAUGAUGAUGAUGAUGAUGACGAUGGGGUGUUUCAAAGGACCCUUUCAUCCCUCCUCCUCCUCGUCCUCCUCCUCCGACUUCUUCUCCUCCUCUGCACUUCACUGUCAAGUUGACCCAGGGGGGGUUGGAGUUCCUUGCCGCGGUGGGCGGCGGUGGGUGGUGGGUGGAGGGGAGGGCGGAGGAGAAAGAGGCAGCACGCACCAGACUAACGACAAACCCGGUGCACCCGGUGGUGAAUCAGAGGCCAUCCGAGUACCCGAGGGCUCAUAGCGCAGCGGCGGGGGGGUGGGGUGGGGUGGGUGGGGUGGAACUGCCCCGUCAAUGGCAUGGCAUGAAUGUUGGGCUGUAUGAAAGGACAGUGGCGGGGAAUUAAACCAUAUGACCUGGCCUUGGAAGGAGCCUGGGCCGCCCUGGAGAGGGAACCCCCCCUCGAGCCGACUAGGAGCCCUGAGUGCCGCACUGCGUGACAGUUGUUCCGCAGUGGGUGGGUGUACGAGGGACGCCAAGUCGGUGACCCCCUGGAGCACCUGUCCGCCUCUGAGCCCGGUCUGGGUACGACAUGCAGUACUGCCGGCUCCCCCUCCCGCCACUUCAGACAGCUGACGGGACCACAAUCUCCCAGCAGGUACGGCAACACCUGGCAAUGCAAUGCAAGGUAAGGUAAGGCAGGGCAGAUUUAAUACCUCCACCAACACCACCACCACUGCACCACCAGCAGGUUAUAAAAAAGGCAGUACCAACAACACCAACACCGACACCAACAACACCAGCAGCAGUACCAACACAGUCAGAUCUCGAAUCACGAAUGGCAACUGGUAACCCCGGACAGUAGACGCACCCCCUGCAGGGGGGCCACCUACCGCCACCUACCGCCACACAAACACGGUCAUACCACUCUCCCGAGCCGUCCCGAGUAGCCCCCUGCUACAGCACCGCUACCCCCCCCCCACCCCCGAACCUCCAACCCCGAGCCCCGUAAAGCCCCCCUAUACCCAUCCAGCCCUCCGCGUACCUCCGGGUGAACCGGCGGCUGCAGCAGCAGGUAGUAGUUGGGGGUGACGGCGACAUCAAGUACCGUCGCCGCAGCGAAGCCCUUCAUCCGGUACCGCAGACUCCGCCGCCGCCGCGGCGCCCGGUGAGAGCCCCGUAGCUGCCACAGCAGCUGCUGGUGCUGCCGCAGCUGCUGCGGCAACGUCGUGACAGAAUCCGGAACCAAAUCUCGGUCCGGAUCCAGGCCCGGAUCUAGAUCGUCGUCGGGUUCCACCUCCCAAAAUGCGAACUCCGUGUCGAACCGGUCUUGCUGCCGCCGUGCCAGCCAGCGCGCCGCCGUCCCCAGUAGCGCCAACGUGUCUGUACCCCCCUCUUCCUCCCUGACCUCUUGCCCUCCUCCUCCUCCUCCUCCUCUUCCUUGCCUCUUCCCACCGGCGCGUCGUUCUGUAUGCGCUACAUAUUCACCGCCCUUCAGCUUCGCUGUCGCAGCCGCUGCCUGCGGCAGCGGCGCUGCCGCUGCCACCCCCGCAAGCAGCGUCUGAUGUGACCAAAACACACGCCGACCAGUGACACUGCACGUACGCGGCCGGGCGCCGCACGCGUCACCGCCCAGUGCCGAAUGUGCGGGCGGAAGCCGGUCGUUCGAGCCUAGCAGUCGCGUCACACGGCUCAUGGCCCGGUCGGCGGCGGGACUGGCCAGAGACAACGGCACGCCAGGUGACAGAGCACCCCCCAGGCGGUCCUGUGACCCACGGGUCACGAGGGUGACUGGAUCCAGGGCGUACGGCAGGCCGCCCUGCGUGGUGUACGAGCCGUACAGCCAGCCACGCAGGCACGGGCAGGAGGUGCCGCACAUCCCGUAAGUAAGUAAGAUCAGGUGGGGGGGCGGGGGGGGGGGUAAGGCGACCCACUGACGGGAAAGGGGGUUUUCGUGGGCAUCUACAGCGGGUGACUAAUUACUGGGUGGUGCAGGGACGGUGUGGUAGGAGACCAGCCGCACACCAAACGAGAUCACGACGCAUGGUGAUCCAGACGGUAGCGGACAUACAUACAGCAGCACAGCACACACACAAUACACCCCUCCUACCUACCUACCUACCGAAACCCCACCCCUAUCCACGCACGAAACCCCCCCUUUUAAGCCCCCCUUUUACCAUCCUUCUCCCCCUCCCCCCGCAAACACACACGCAUGUCCUCACGCGCUCACCGGGUAUAACGCCAGCAGUCUGCCCCCCUGCAGCACCACUCCCGCAUUGGCGGCGUUACGCAGAGCUACAUUGCCCGCAUUCCCCAGCAGACCGCCGCGGCCCGGGGAGGCCAGGGCGCCGCGGAACAACAGCUGCCCCGCCUGGACCUCAGCCUGGCGCCUGGAGGGAGGGAAAGAGGGAAGGGGGAGGAGGGAGGGAAGGGGACGGAAGAUUCAGGGCAGGGCGGAGACAAAGGGUUGUGCGGAAGCGGGGAGGGUGGUGUGAUGUGUGGAAUGGGGGAAUGGACCGGGUUCGGGUGGCGUGUGUGUGUGUAUGUGUGUAGGUAACAGGUUUCUGUGCGGGCGUGGUGAGAGACUCUGAUGUACCCUCAUGGUACAUGAUACACGUAGUACACACACGCCGCGGGUGCUGCGUCAUGCAUUCACUCUCCGCUGCCCCCUUUUCCCCCGGGCCCCCUCCAGCGGAGGGGCUCCGCGCCCGGUUGUGCCGCCGCUAGAACGAGAACACUCACUCAGCUGUGCGCACGAAUGCGGAUCUGAAGAACGCCCUUCCAUCCCCCGGCAGCGCCACGGAGGCUACCAGCCCGUCCCCGUCGUAGGGGUGACCGGCGCUGUCCUGGCCCCGGGUGAAGCAGCCGGGGCCGUUGCGGAAGAAGGUCCCCGUGAGACCCGCUGGCAGCUGGCCGUCAGUGACCUGGGCGGGGUUGUCGGGAGGGGGGGAGAGGGGAGGGGAGGGCGGUUGGGAGGGGGAGAGAGAGGGCAAGGUGGGGUGCUGUUCUGCCAGCCACAAGUAGCCCAUCAGCCAGCCAACCAGGCAUCGGUCCAUUGCCGGCACGCGUGUGUUUGUGUGCGUGUGUUUUGGGGGGGGGUCCCCAUCCGCCUCCCCAGAUCGGGUCCCCCUGGCCCGCAAAAAUGCUGGUAGGCCCGCAUGGCGCCCCGCCGUCCCCCAUUUGACCGCACCACACUCCCCACCUGCCGGUUGAUCUGACGGAACGAUUGGUCUGACUUCCCCCGCCACCCCUUGCUCUCCCCGCUGCACCGCGCCAGCGGAUGUUUUACAUGUCUCAACCCCCCCUCCCCUCUCCGCCCCUCUUUUGCCACCUGCAGCCAGGCACCCUCGGGCUCCUCUUGUGCAUUGAAAUCGUAGCCUUUGGCCCAGGCGUCCUGGGUGCCAAACAGCAGGCAGGUAAGAGGCGGGGUUGGGGGCCAGAUGCGGAUUGGGGCAAAUGGGCGCCAGGCAAGGCUACGCGGCGAAAUAUAUACAGCCCAUUUAACUCUUGAGCAUCCCCUUCUUCCCUUCGGCCUCCCUCGGGAGUUGCUCCUUUGACUGUUGAACAUGACUCCCCCGACCCACGUAAUUCUAGUGAGUUAUUCAUUAUGGACAGGUUGCUGCCUGGGACUGUCGGAUAGGGAUCCACGGCUAGUAUUUCGGGCGCAGCACUGUGCGAUGAGCAAAGGCUGCGAGCGGGCUCACCAGGAAAGGGCGAUAUUUGGCGCUUACGCGGGUGUUCUGGCUACUGUUUUCUGCAGAAGCGACUGCAGCUGCGACUGCAGCCGCGGUAACUGCAGCUGGCGCAGGCGCGCCCGCGGCUCGCUGAAAGGUCGCUCUCGGAGGAUGGAUGCCGACGGCUAGUGGCCGAACACAGUUUCCUUGAGAGUCGCUUUCUGAAAAGGAUGAGUGAUCAAGAUUUCCAGUAGUUGGGCUGGUAGCGACAGGACUAUCGCUGGUAGCAGAGUUGGAAGCGGCAUGGAGAUUGACGAUGUUGCGCAGAGGAGGCCGCGAUAGAAGCGUUUUAGGCGCAAGCUUCCUAACUGUUGCAUUCCCUCUGUGCUUAUGGCCCUUCGGAGCCCUGCACCUGUGGGAGGGGAGUAACAUGCAAGGGAUGUCGUGGGGCGCGCAGUUUGAAAGUGCGCAGUUGAUCCAAAGCUCCGUCGAAGCCGAUGCUGUUAGUGAGGGAAUGCUCUAACCUGUAAGAUGAUAAUCUCAUGAUGGAAUUCAUAUAAGGAAACGUCGCAUGCGGACGAAAUUGAUUGCUCUCUGGAACUCCUAAUCCGGCCGAUCAAAGUUUAUGCGUGCAAGACAUUGCAAGACCUAAUACCUGAAGGGUACUUUGUCCUAACUCCUAAGCUUCCAACAUUAAGCUUUGGCCUGACCCGUCCAACGGUUAGGUCGGUUAGCGACAACGGUAUGACGAAAGCGCGCCAAUAGAUGGCAGUAGCAAUACGGAUGGCUGUUGUGCGAUGCUGCACCCAAAAUUCCCGAAUAAAAUAAUAAAAUAAAAUAAAACGCCGAUUGCCAUAAUCACUGUGCCAUUGCCAUACCCGAUAUACCGGUAACACCCUGCCUAGGGUCACGGCUGAGGGGAAGUUACAUCUCAGGUCUGGUCUGGAUGCACAGCUGCAAUUUUGCGAUGUAUGAUUUUGAGAUCGAUUCAUGAGUAUCCCCCCGACAUUGUUGGGAGCGUGAGAUUAUGGCUAGUUGCUGAGAUGUAGAGUUGAGGUCAAAGUCGAUGGACCGAGAUUCGCACGCUGGAUUGGUGGCGCCUUCUGUCUCUACGGAUGUUCGGGUGACAUUAUGAGGAGGGAUUCUAGGAGGCAGGAUCAACCGCCUUGGAAUUGCAGUUCGUAUGGCAGUAGUGGUAAAACAGUGUGGUAAUUGUGAAUGGUGCUGUGUGGUGUGUUCAAUCCGAGGUAUGACAAUCCAAAUAUAUAUUAAAAAACAAAUGGCCCAGAAGCCUCCCACUCUGUCACAACAACAGCAUCAACAACAACAACAACGACGACGAUAACAACAACAUCGCAUGUGAAAGCAGAAGCCAGAAGGAAGAAGGAAGAAGCCAGGAAGGAAGAUGCCAGAAUACAUGCAUAUUUUCGCAUAAGUCGCGCUAUGCUACCCCAAAUGCUAUUACCGAAACCCCCCGGCCCCGCGAAUAAGACAACAACAUCAGCAGAGCCUGUCUGAGACUGCUUACUGACCGUCUGAGACCCAACAUGCACCACAUACCGUAGUGACAGGAAAUGUUCGUGUUUUUUAUUUUGUGACGGCAUUACGAAAUUAUGUCACAUAUAAAUUACAAGCUGUUCCAGGCGAUGGUCGUUACGAAUAUAUGUGUGCUCCGAAGCCAAAUCGUACAAUGCCUUCAACACAGUAAUUACCCGUCGAAGAGACAAUACCUGCAUGCUUUUCACGUGGUUCGCGUGCCUUGUCACUGGAAUCUGGUGUUUUCUGGUGAGCAGAAUAACCGUGCAUGCAUUGGCCAGCUUUUGCGUCAAUCGGCGUUCUGACAUUGCAGGCACCGUUGCUUCGGUUGCGUUGGCCUCUUACGAAUUCAAAAGUUUCGCCAAUAUGUUCUGGUGUAAUUUUGAGGGUGUCUCGAACAAUAAAAAGACGAGCAUUUCCUGUCACAUGCACCACAUACGGCUAGUUGCAGCUUGACGAUAGCGUUGCGAGACGAACUACACAAAAAAUGUAGAUUAAAUAUAAUUUUUUCAAAAAGUUCGUAUAAUAUUACCGGUACUAAUGGGGAAUGAUCCGCCUGAGGCUCUUAGUAAGGCUAGCAUACAAGGUUAAAUAGGCCACUCUCCAAUCCAGUCAGUACACAGUCAAUCGUUUCGACAAAAAUACGAGUGUUCAUUUUUAUUGAGUCUUGCUAGGUCUCAAAUAAUUCAUACUUUUUGGGCAAGGCCUCGGACGCGAAGUCCCCGGUGUUCACUGCUGUCAGUCAGUCAGUCAGCCAGUCUGUCAGAGGCUCACAUAUCUUGCUCCGCAAAAAAUAGCGUUCAAAAGCUACACCAAUUCUUCUGCGAUUGUCCAAUGGAGACAAUUCAGAUAAGUCGUUCAAAUAAGUCAGAGCGCGAAGAUAUAGCUUUCCAUGGCUUCAACUUUGACUUCCCCUCACGCCGCAGCCCUUGCCUCUUGACGUCGUUGCAUAUCCCUUACAUCAUAGACUCGUAAGCAAACGGCAUGAUCCUGUAUGGGUUGGUUCCUUCAUGCUCGGCAACUUUAGAUGCAUGGCAACGCUUGGAUCGACCCAUGGCAACGCUCCUGGCGUCUCGCUCGUGCCUGUUUGAUUGUUGUCCUUCUUGUUCUCUUCUUCAUUCAUUCAAUUCAAGUUGAACAUAAUAACAACAUUUCGAGGGCUCCGACAAGCCCUGGUAACUUCACUACAUCAAAACGCCUUUGCGACACACCGUCGGCUUUGCCGCUGCAUUCCGACUUCAAAGUGUGCAAUUGGAACGAUUCUCGAAUGCGUUCUGGCUGGGAGCGGACAACAAUUGGUCCAUGAAGCACGGGCACUUUGGCGCGCCUUGGAUGCCAGCCAGCAGACCGAAGGGCCGGUGUCGAACAUGGAUGCAACGGUGGUACCACCUACGCAUCGGGCAGUCCCGACUCAUGGAUUUGGUGCAGCAGCGGCAACACACGUUGCCCCAAUGACACUCCUGCGUUGUGUGUAUGUCAUUCUACGGAUUGUCGCAUCACGAGAAGGCUAACUGUUCAGUCAAUACUGAUUAUGCUAUGGCGGCUACGCGCUUGCGACGAUCCAGGCAGGUCUAGGCCGCCAUAGCAAGUCAGCCGACCUUCAUUGUUUGAGAAUCUCAGGCAGCUGGCCGACCUCUCACACCUAUCCACAACAACAAGUGUGUACUCCAAACGAGACGGCGUUCUUGUGCUUGCAGUCCUAUGCCGUACGGACUGUCCUGCGAAUUAAAUGGGGCUCAAGUGCUUUUCGGCUUUGGAAAGCCGCCCCCCUAGUCGUAUAUAGUAGCCCUACUAUGGGCGUUGCAUGGGGGAACAGCCGCUGCUGGCGAAUUUAAGCUUAUUCCAAUACACAGCUGAUAGCUAAUAUCGUCUAGAUGCGAUUGAAUUUAGAUAACGUAAACAGGAUUUAACUGUACGGCCUAGCAACCUCUAAACCGAAAGCCUUUUUAGGCCCCCCCCUGCCCCGCUGCAGGCGUUGUAGCAGUGUUAAACGUUAUAACACUGGACGACACCUAUUCGGCCACGAACCCCCGCAGGGGAUGAGGAUGCAGAUAUGACCGUUGAGGGCAAGUUGCCACAUACCGACCCAAUAAGAUAGCACCAGCGACAUGGCCAAUUAGGGUGGUACAGUCGUUCGAGUCGAAUCGCACGAGCACGUUUACCCAUGGCAGCGCGGGGCCCUGCAGGCGCAUACCAAUAUAUCAUUUGCAGUGGCGGCCCGAUGACGCCAUCAGGCCCAUCCAACCACCACGAGAGCAGCGGCCAAGCUGUGGCUGCAAAACAAGAAAUUGCGCCGACGCCUGCCAUCAGCGCAAGCGGCAAGCACCGUCUAGUUGUAGCAGGCCGAACGGAAAAUCCUUGCGAACGGCGAGAAUGAUUUUUAUUAAGAAACAAACGGCGAAUAUUUUUUAUAAAAGAAACGGCGAAGUGUGGGUGCGCUAGUGCUUUUGAGCUCAGUUGAAACGUGUUGAAACGCAAACCUGCACAGAGGCGGCAGGCUGCGGGGUUAAAAAAACAGUUUUCGCUUACAGGUCGCCUUCAUUUCCGAAUCCAAACAAACCCCAAAGGACAAAAAAUACUUCCGUCUAACAGAGCAGAGCAGAGUUUCAUUUUUCGUUAAAUCAAACAACAUGUUGCACGAUGAUGUCUGUUUCACCACUUUUCUGCCACGUCCUCCCGAAAUGGCAACAAAUUAAAAAUUGCUCUCCAUACCACCUUUCUGAGCAAAAACAUCAAAGUUGCUCGCUCGCCGCGGCUACUCAGCCUUACGCGCAAACACUGUCCCUUUCGGAACCAGCGCUCGUCAAGAUGCACACGUAUCUCCUGCUCCUAUGCGGGCAGGCAGACCGCGUGCUCUGCGGCCGCCCUCAUUCAUGCGCCAACGGCCCCAUCUCUGGCUGAUAAGAAAAACCCUCAGUUUUCUCCUUUCCAAACCACCGCAAACCAAACAACAAACUAAGCACAAACCAGCAAGACAAGAAAAGCGAAGGCCAUCAUACGCACCGAUCCGCGCCCGAGUGCACCAGCCCAAGACUCCGGUGCGCCAUCAGUAAGUAUAGAGCGUUCAUACUCAAAAAGUCCUAACCCAAAAAAAACAACCGCACCUCUCACAUCAAUCUUAAGACUGCUUAAAAUUCGUGUGUCGCCGUCCAGCGCCUGCAUCCCCGGUGCAAAAGAGCAUAUCCCGGAGGCGCACGAAUCAUCUCCAUCGCAUGCAUUAUCCCGCAAAAACCGGCGGGCCCUGGUGCUAAGAGCAUGUCCCGACUUGCUUAACACGUACAGUGAACAUAACACGGACAUACAUACAUACAUGCAUAGAAACAUACAUACAAACAUUGAGCAGGGACUGCCCCGGGAAAGGGGGCCGCUGGCGAAGUUAACCACCCUGUAACAACAUACAUACAUACAUACAUACAUACAUACAUACAUACAUACACAACAAGGCUCUGCUUUGUACGAAUGAAAGUGCUUUUUAUUCCCGAUAGACAAAACCUUUUCACUUAGCAUCGAGGAGAAUGUUUAGGGACAGCGCAUUGAGGGACAGAAACAGGCUGACGGAUAAAAACAGAUGCACAGGCUGACGGACAAUCAUGCAGAAACGCAGAAAGGAAGACCUGGCGACAAUUGCAUGUAUUUAAAAUGUCUGUCGAUCGUAACCUAUCCGGCCAGCUAUCCACCAGGCCAUGCACGUGCACUUGGCUCAUGCAACCGCACGCACUUACAGCCGCCCACCAAGGUCCAAAGUCAUUUUCCCACCACCCCACCUGCAAAUAGUCAGAAAACGCCAAAAAAGAAUUUCAUCAUCCUCAUCGGUGUUGUUGUUCUCAUCCUUGUUUUUAUUGCAUGCUCACGACUGAUGUACAUGCCGUACGAACCAACUUUUGGAAGACGGUUAUUUCGCAUCAAAAAAAGUUACAUCAUGCCGCCCUGGUAACUGCGAUGAAAAUAACGAAAGCCGCCUCCAAAGCUGCCAAAAAGAUUUUGAUAACGUGUACCGUACACAAGAUUUCUGCCAUAUCGUCGCCUGUCUGACCAACAUACUUACUGUACAUCAGUAGGUCAGGCACUACUGAUCGCGGACCCGCAGGGUGAAGAUAUAACCCUCCCCUGUCCCACACAUCAUACAUAUACUAUGUCCUCAAUUUCUCAAAAAACAAACGGUGUGUUGUUUCCACCAGCGGAAAUAGUUUAGCGGAUACCUUUAAGCCGUUGGGCAAACCCAACCAACAGCCGCGUCGACAAACCAACAGAGGGAGAAGGAUAGAAUACAGCCUUAGUACGUACCAUAGGGGACUCCGUCCCCUUUAGGGGAAGAAGGGGACGUACCAUAUCGCGUACCGCACAGAACGCCGACUCUCACCACCACACAGACCUCCCCCCCAUGAGGGUGCUGCAGCAGCAGGGCACACAGACCAGGGGCCGUGUGUCAUAGCUGCACGAGAGGAAAGCCCCACCUUUACCUUAGAGCUCUUCUUGCACCAUUCGCCACUGGCUGGCUAUACACAGCUCCCCGAUAUCCUCCCCAUCGCCGCAUAUGUCGUCACCAUGGACCACCUCUCCACUGCCACCACGGGCCACCACCACGGCCCAUACAAGAACCACCCACCACCCCAAACAGGUCGAAACCACCCACCAACCUUCCCCACCGUCGAAACUCCCUUCCCUCCAUCCCUCCCUUUCCCUCUUUCCCUCAACAAGCUCCAGUUCCCUGUUUGUCCUUAGGGUUUCGAAAUACUUUCCUCUCCUUCCUUCUCCUACCCCAUUUGCACAACACAAAAUGGGAGAUACGGCCACACGAAAACCCACACACAGGAACGGCAAUAUGAUCGAGACUUCCAACAUACGACAACACGGUACGAGCGUACGACACGGUCCUUUCCCACGAGCUUCAUUUUAUUUAACUUGGCGCAAACACACACUCGCAAAAAUACUCACGGAGCAAAAAAACCCGAUUGCCGCCACCGUCGACAGCUGCCAUCACCGCGUACAAUGCCGUACGUUUGUAGUACAACAUCGAAAUACGUGCAGUCUGUACGGACAGCCAGGGGGAAAGUUUGAUGCAAAAAUGCACACGAUGAUGCCUGACACCGAGCAUAAAACUGCCGUACCGCCACCAACCAGCCCAAUUAUUCGUCUAUUUUCUCAGCCGCUCGAGCCCCAUUAAGUACGACAUGCGUACGACAUGUAGCAACUAGGGAAUUAGGACUAUUGCUUAGUCAGUGGAGUUCGCGUGGCACAUCUGACCUGAAGAGAUGCUUUCGAGCAAGCGAAUGGUGGGGCCGCGGUAGACGACACCCCUUCCGCUCCCCCUUCCCCCUCCCCUUCCUCUCCCCCUUCCCAUAGUCAACAUAACCCCCCCAACAGAAGAACACAUACACACGUUCCCCCUCACACACACACGGAUUAACAUCCUGCCCACUCUUCCUUAAGCCGUACAAAAUGCACAAAUGCACGUACGUACAGAAUUACAUUGCGGGAUGAUGACCGUAUUAACAGUCCGUACAUCGCGUGGCCGUUACGAAGCGAAUGCAUGCAAACACGCAUACAUACAUACAUACGUUGGGUCCGUUAUUCAGUCCCACCGCACAGUCAUCUUCCUCCUGCUGCCACCUCCAGUGAUGUACGACAACAUGAGCUCUGUGUGUGUGUUUGUGUGUCUGCGCGCGUGUCUGUCUGUCUGUCUGUGCAUGUGUACAGCAGUCGAACGAUGUGUUACGCAGAGUCCGACGUGCAUACAUACACACAUACACAUCGCCACACGCAGCCACAUAACAGAAAAUUAGAUGUGCGGAUAGAUACAUGCUCGGAUAUUCCGAAAUAGAUGAUGCCGUAUGCUACUAGGACUCGUAACUAAAACACGUUACUGCAGCCACCAAAUGCCCCACCUAUCAGCCGACGGCAUUCUAAAACUGCGAAACACCUCAUCCUCAAACCGCAACGGAGGUGCAUCAGCUCAUAGGAAGCAAGUACGAUAUGUCGUGCAGCUGAUAGUUGGUUAGUUAAUUAGUUCGUAAAUUUUGAUGCUCAAUUAGUAAAUAGCGAAUGAAGUAAUUACGUAGGCAGGUAGUUGUGGAUGGAUUUCAUUUGCUAGUUAGUUAGAUAUGCCGUUGAGCAGUUAUGAGGGUGGUUAGGUGAGAGGGGCCUCAUGUUCACUCCCACCCCCACUCCCACACGAGUGGGC